GUCAUGCAGUUGCCUGGACUCAACACGUUGGGGAUCUCGUUGGCUCGCAUUGACUACGCACCAUUAGGUCAGAAUCCUCCACACACACACCCACGUGCCACUGAGAUUCUCACCGUGCUUGAGGGGACACUCUACGUCGGAUUUGUCACCUCCAACCAAGCUGACAGAAGCAACAAGCUAUUUGCCAAGGUUCUCAACAAGGGCGAUGUGUUUGUAUUCCCCCAAGGACUAAUCCACUUCCAGUUCAACCCAGUACAUGACAAGCCAGCAGUCGCGCUCGCUGCUCUAAGUAGCCAGAACCCUGGAGCUAUUACUAUUGCCAAUGCAGUCUUUGGAUCAAAGCCACCUAUCUCGGAUGAUGUCCUAGCUAAGGCCUUUCAGGUGCAAAAGGGGACAAUUGAUUGGCUUCAAGCUCAGUUCUGGGAGAACAACCACUACUGAAAAAAUCAAGUUUGAGUUCAACAUAUGAGAAUAAAGAAAUGUACUUGUAUUUUACAUACUACUCUAUGUGUUAACCUUUUUCUAAGUUGCGGCUAAUAAUAAAAUAAAUGUUCCUCUGUCAUACUAGAUACGAAACGUUAACUUAGUUUAGUAAUACACAAAUAGUCGGUUAUUACGAAGAAAUCACUCCCCUACUUCUAUAGGAAAAGGGUAAGUCCUAAAUUCAACCAGGAGUGACGAACAAAGCUCAUAUUUAUGACAAGGCAUGAGCUCGAGCAAAAUUUUGGCAGAAUAACCCCGAUGUUCUCCAUUUACAUGCCUGAAAAUGCUGCAACAGAGAACAAAUGGGUUAUGCUUAUGAAAUUACGCACAAGCACAUGUCUUGUUAUAAAUAUGAGCUCUGUCGGUCACUCUGAGGCUGUCCAAUAAAGGGACAAUUCUUCCCCAACAUACGUAACAUGCAUCCCAUGUGAGGUGUGUUGGACCAAAACGGGUGAUGCGCAGAUUCAGUUCCAUUUGUUAACUCUAUGAUACACACAUUUACGCUACAUCCAUCGAUCGAUAUUAUAUAAUUCAACUAAUAAAACAGUAAUACAAUGUUUUAUACUACAUAACAUUGUUUUGGGUGAAAAUAAUAUUAAAUGACCUUAUUUCCAAAGGUUUAAUAAUUACCCUUAGAAAUUACAUAUUUAAGUUAUUUAAGCACCCUAAAUGAACUAAAACAAUCUAAAUAAACUACAUAAUCACCAUUACGGUCGUCAAAUAUAUAUAACACACAUAUUUCAUACAAACAAAUAAUCAAUCAAUGCAUGUAAUUAUAAAGCAAAUGGUCUUACUUCGGGAGGCAGAGCGAUGCUGUGGAAGGUGGGGAGGCGCUCUGGAAGGCGUGCAAUGGACGAGGCGACGUUGCAGGACGUUGGCAGAGCUUCAGGAGGCGUGUGGUGGGUGGUCGUGCCAUGGCGGAUGCCGCUAAGGGCGGCGGUGGCUUUGAUGGAGCUUCGGGAGGCGUAUGGUGGGUGGCAGCGCCCCGACGGAUGGCGCUACAGGCGGCGGCGGCUUCAGCUCCGGCGGACGGAUGAGCCCCCAGCGGGCGGACGUGGCAUUGAUGAACGAGUGCGGGCGCGACUUCUACAUGGCGGCGAGGGCGGCGACGACGAACAGCUUCGGCGGGGCACAAAGUCGGGGAUGGGCCGAGAGAGGGCGCGGGCCGCAGGCGAUGGCGGGGCAGCAUACGGCGUGAGAGAGAGCGGGCGGGCACUCGUGGGGAGAGAAAGUGAAACGGCAUGGUCGGGUGAUGUUUCCAUAAAUCGACGUAUGUCCGACGACGUGUCUGGCAGCUCUGGGACAUAAGGAUUACUAUUUGGUUGUCCGUGCGUUGCGACGGCUCACAACAAUACUUACGUAAACUAUCCACGAAAAAGAUCUCAAGAUUUUUUAUUGAUUGUCUCCGAUCUCCACAUAAUAUUUUUUAUUUGACUAACUGAAGUGUUUUUGUUGUUUACUCCAUCCAAUAUAUUUUGGUACAACACAGCCAAUGAAGUGAGCCAUUAGAAGAGAGUUCACAACGACCGAUUGGACAAAUAUAGAUUAUAGAAUGACAUAAUUCCACCGUACAGAGACCAAAUAAGAGUAAGUUUGUGAGCUCAAGUUUCUAAAAUAAGUCACAUGAACUCAAACUUAUAAAAAAGAUAGAUCAAAAUAUGGAUUGGUUGCUAAAGUCAGUCAUCAAUAAAAAUUGGAUGCGCUCCAUACCAAUUAUGAUACUUUAUAACAAUUACUCUAAAGCUACGUAUUAAGAAGCAGUCAAGUGCUUGCUUGAUCUAGCUAGUAAAACGUGUACGACACAUGUUGGUUUGGUGGAACUGACAGAUAUUAUAUUCCACAAGACGAACAAGCAAAAAUGCUGUCACAUGUUGGUUCGGCUGAGAAACAGUAGCAUAGUGGUUGAAGGACGAACCUGCCUGGUGAGUUGAAGGAACCUGCCCGGUGCACAACUCAAGAAAAGCCAUAGUUUUCUCUAUGUCGAUGUCGACAAGUAAAUAGAGAUUAGAUUAUAUUAAACUGGACGUGGUUCUACCACACUAGCAUAGUGGUUGAUCGGCAUGGGAACCGUCUACGGGGAAGAAGAACGCGAUUUUAAAACGCAACAAUUUUUACUAGCGGUUUUAUUACCUCGACUACCAGUGAAAAUCGAUUUUCACUGGUGGUUUUCUUAGCCUGGCCGCUAGUGGAAAUCGAUUUCCACUGGCGGUUCUCAGUUAUCGGUCAAUCGAUCCCAUUCAGCCAGUGAGAUGGUACUAUGUGGGAGAGCUGCGCUACGUGGCUUCCUAUUAUAUUGGGCUUAGAGAUGGCAACGGAGACCCAAUCCUCGAUUCCCUGUGGAGAAAUCUUCUAUUAGGGGAAGGGGAUGGGGAAGUUUCUUCCCCCAUGGGGAUGUAAACGGGGAAAAAUUAUUCCCCGAUGGGUAAAUGGGGACGGGGAUGGAGAAGUAUUCCCCAUCCCUGUUCCCCGCGGGACCCGUUAAACUUACACGUGACGACGUUUUCAUGUACUAGUUAAUAAUAAAAAUAAAUAAUUACUUUAUCAAGAGAUCACUCAUUGUACAAAUAUGUUUAUUUUGAUGUACACAUAAUGGUUUAUUACAUCUGACAAUGUGUAGAAGUAACAAUUUUUACAUUAAUAACAUAUGAAGUGAUGUCACUCAUUGUAGAAGUGACAAGGCGGCCUCCUACCCCUCCUUGUGGUCCCUCUCGGCCACCGGUUUAAGCUAAAAGGCAGCAAUGGGGAAGGUGUGUCAGAGCCCUGCGAGGGUGUGUAACAUAAUCUUGGUGCCGGAGGGGCUGACCUACGAACAUUAUUAUAGGUUGGAGAGCGCGAUGGACGGGGUGGCGCUGGCGCGACAUGCACGGAGGGUGGUUGGCGACCAUGCGCAGCAUGGCCGGAGUUUGUUUGCAGCGUGGUGGCGGGUUGUGGCAUCCGACCGUCUGUUCUGGCAAGCCUCGGGGCGGGGGGGACGUUUGGGGCAGGCUGCACUGAGACCUAUGCCGGUGCAUCGUUGGCGACGGCGAAAUCGGGUCGGGCGCCUUCGAUGGAGGUGGCGGUAUGGGGGCUAGGGUUCAAGGGAGAUCGGGGCUAGGGUUGUUGGGGGAUCGAGGCUAGGGUUGCAGCUUGGCGGGUGGAUCGGGGCGCGGGAUCGGGUCCCGUUGUUUGUGGGGCCGGGACGGCAGGAUCAGGCACGGAUUCUGGCGCUCGGGAUCAUUCAGAUGGUGGGUGAAUCAGAUGACUUAUAUUGCAUAAUGGUACAACGGACGACUGAGUUGGUGUAACGAUAGAACGGUUUGGAGCAUCAUACUCCUUGCGGCCUUAAUAAUUAGUAGAGAUUAUACGACGGUAUGGUGGUGCACUUUCGCUUUGUUGACUUCCCUGCCUCUUCUUUUUGGGGGGGGGAGCGGGGGGCAGUUGACUCUUUCUAUGUACGUUGGUGAUUAGUGAGCACAAGAAUAGGUGUCGUUUGGUUCACAUAUUGUUAACGUAAUGAGUAACCCAUAACGUUAAAUCAUGUUUGUUUAAGUUCAACCGUAAUCGAUACCACACUAUAAAUAGAUACCGCUUUAUUCAAAUUUGUUACCACCAGUAUUCGAGUGUGAAUCGUUACCAUUACCAUUUACAUUACAUUUCGUGAACCAAACGACACCAUAGUUAGUCUGUUUGCUUCUUAGUUGGUCUCUUUCAACGUGCUCCUUAGUUGGUCUCUCUUUGCUUGUAGCACAACAUAUAAGAAAUUGUAUUCUUUCUUUUGUUGAUUUGUUUUUUAAUGACGAAUAAUAUGACUAUUACAGUGUUUGUGAUGGUUCAUUGCACAACCUAAUUAAGUUUUAUGCUACCUACCAUACGUACAUAGAAAGAGUCAACUCACAAAAAUAAUAGAAAUAGUCAACAACGCUUCUUCGUCUUGUGGAACAUGUGUCGUACAAGUUUUACUAGAUCAAGCACUUGAUUGCUUCUUAAUACGUAGCUUUACACUAAUACGUGAAGGACAGGAUGGCUUAGCAUCAUAUAAAAUACAGAGCAGUUUUUCUUUAUACAAAAAGAAAAGAAAGAACACACAAAAGGCAUCGGAGGUUUAAACCGCUGAAAUAAGAUAACUGUAUUGUGUGUCAUCAGCAGGUUCAGGCUGCUAGAGACUUAUUCAGCCAAAGACUUAUUCAGCUACUGAUACGUACACGUCGCAACAUGCGCUCGGGCAGGCUAUAUAAACCUCACCGUCCCCAUGCCCAAAGCAUCAACAACCAUAGACACAAACACAACAAGCUAAGAAGCUACGUAGCUGAAUUCUGAGAGUAUAAACACAAAAGCGAGUGCAAAACCAAAUGGCUGCCUCGACCUACUUCCUUCUUGUUGCUUUUCUAGCAUUGGUCACUUCUCAUGCCAUUGCUUCUGAUCCUAGCCCGCUCCAAGACUUCUGUGUUGCCGACAAAGACUCUCCGGGUAUGCGUGGUCUUAUCUUGACUUAUGUUGUAUUCUUAUAAUAAUAAAUACCUGAUUAAAUAAGGUUCAUUUAAUUUGUUCAAAUCACAUCUACAUACAAUAAGCAUUUCUAGGUAUGCAUGGCCCAAUGGCCUAUUCUCCAUCUAAUUGCUUGCCUUUGUCUAUGCAUACAGUGAAGGUGAAUGGAUUUGUUUGCAAGGAUCCCAUGGCUGUGAACGCUGACGACUUCUUCAAGGCUGCAAAACUUGACCAGCCAAGGGACACCUCCAAGAGCAAGGUGGGAUCCAACGUUACUUUGAUCAAUGUCAUGCAGCUGCUUGGACUCAACACGUUGGGGAUCUCGUUGGCUCGCAUUGACUACGCACCAUUAGGUCAGAAUCCUCCGCACACACACCCACGUGCCACUGAGAUCCUCACUGUGCUUGAAGGGACACUCUACGUCGGAUUUGUCACCUCCAACCAAGCUGACAGAAGCAACAAGCUAUUUGCCAAGGUUCUCAACAAGGGCGAUGUGUUUGUAUUCCCCCAAGGACUAAUCCACUUCCAGUUCAACCCAGUACAUGACAAGCCAGCAGUCGCGCUCGCUGCUCUAAGUAGCCAGAACCCUGGAGCUAUUACUAUUGCCAAUGCAGUCUUUGGAUCAAAGCCACCUAUCUCGGAUGAUGUCCUAGCUAAGGCCUUUCAAGUGCAAAAGGGGACAAUUGAUUGGCUUCAAGCUCAGUUUUGGGAGAACAACCACUACUGAAAAAAUCAAGUCUGAGUUCAACAUAUGAGAAUAAAGAAAUGUACUUGUAUUUUACAUACUACUCUAUGUGUUUACCUUUUUCUAGGUUGCAGCUGAUAAUAAAAUAAAUGUUCAUUAUUUAUGUACUAUAAUUGUAAUUGUGUCCCUAUUGUGGCUCCACCACAUUGUCCUUAAUCGAAAAGCAAAUGUAAGGUAUACGACAGUCUAUCGUUUCCCAUUUUAUUGGAAUGGAUCAUAUGGUAAUACACCUCUAAAAUUGUGUAUAGUUCAUAUAGUAAGCAAUCUAGAACUGUCUUGUUGCAUCGCAGCUUUCGAACCACUCCUUGAAAUGUAUUUUAUAAGAGUGAAUAACAUAAUUAGAUCACACCUGAAAUUCCAUCCAUUAUCAUUCAACCCACUACUAGAACUUGAAUUAAAUACCAAUUCUCAAGAGCAACUAUCACAAAAUGCGGUAGUACCACCAACAAAGAGAGACCAAAUCAAAGAAGAUCUAAGAAUUUCAGCGGUAUCGUGGCAGUUGUGGCUUGCGGCAGAGCUGGUGGCCAGCGCCCGGUGUGCAGCGCAGCGGCCAGGCCGGAUGAGGCAUGGGGCACGUCGAUGCGAGCGACAGGAGGAUGUGAAGUAGCACGGGCAAACGCCUAGGGUUUGGGAUGGUCGCUUGAUCGGGUAUGUUUCGUUGGACUAUGUGAAUGAUAUCUAGGCUAUUGGACCGUCGAAGCCCAUGCACAUUUCUUGGGCAAGCCCCAUAACACAUAAACAAUAUUGCUUGUCAUAAUUUGGAGUUGAAUAUUACAUGGAGCCAUCCAAAUUACUAACAAAAAACUGAACUAUCGAUUGGUGCAUCAGUUAAGAUUAACUUAAUAGACCAAGUAGGUCAUGGAGUCAGAACGACAUGCAUCUUCCACUACAUGCAUAUAGUAACAGAAGUCAAGUAACUUACUAGAUCACAUUCACAAUUCGACAAUAUAAGACUAAUUAUAUUCACUUUACAAAUGCAACACAAAACUACCCAACUCAUGAGAAAUCUAAUAGUCCAAUCACAGUAGUAAAAGGCACUAUGCCAAAAUAACACAAAGUUAAGGAGACACCAAAUUAAAACACUUCACUGCCGUAUGACACUAGUGAUGGGGGUAAAAGUAACAAAUCACAAUUAGUCGUCGCUCAUGACAAAAGAAAAUAAAUCCUUUUAUUGCUUAUAUCCCUUCCGUUUUCUAAAAUCUCAUUAUGUCAAAAAUAUGUUAAGAAUAUGAUUAUUGAAAUGGAUAAAACAUGAGUAAUUUAUAUAGGACUAGAAUAGAGAUUUUUUUAGUUACUGUAAAUUGUAGUCAAAGACGUGUUUAGCCAAAACAAGUCAACGUUGAGAUUCACAUCUGUGUUGGAACAGAGGUGGAAAUGUUCAUGCAUCUUGUUACAGAUCAACUGGGAUAGAAUAGAGUUGGCAACAAUAGAAGACAAUCUACUAUUGAGCACAAAAGUGGCAAUGUCUGAUCAGCCAUAUUGAGACGGAUGCAUGUAUCACUAAUGUGUCAAUGAUAUUAUUGAUGUUGUAAACCAUGUGUUAAACCUUAGCAUCUUAAGGUGACAUGUGAUUGUUAUUCCGUAGGCCGUUAAAAUAGAAACAUAAGACAACAAAUUUAAUGUGACGGAACCUCCCAAGUUAUUAGGCCCACCUAUAGUUGUCCUUGUCCAACGGACUUCAGACGACCCUGCAGGUGCACCUGAUCACUUGACAAGUUCGGUAUCUGAAUUCCUUACCUUUCCCAAGAGCGUUUCACCCGUCACGCAGACAUUACAAUACAUCGGAGAUACGGAAAUGUGGAAGCAGUUACAAUAACUUACUUUAUUGAUAAGUAAGACAGAAUUAUAUAGUUACAGAUCAGAACCAAAAUAUAUGAGUGCAGAGUAUUAUUACUACAUAACAUGGGAGGCAAAAACUCCUCCCGAAUAAGCAGUAACAAGUUUUUCUUAAUGGAGGACCUUUCCUCCCACAACUUUAGUCUUGGUUCUCUUCUUUUGGUACCACCUUUGAAGAGAAGCAACAAAAGUUUGCUGCUUCUUCACCUAAAACAACAUGGGACAAAGCCCUGAGUACGAAGUGUACUUUCGCAAGACUUACCCGGCAAAGUAAAAUACUCUCAAGGAUAUGCUAGCUUUAAGGGAGUCAAAAUAAGGCUUAUCAAUAAUCAAUGACUCUGUUUGCAGAAAUGCUUACUAAUAGUGGAUCCUUAAAAAUCUACUUUUAUUUGUCAGGUUAUGUCAAAUUACCUGUAACUAGAGUUCUUUCUACCCUAGUUCAAUCACUUGAUCUAUACUAGUCAAUUUCUUAACAACCCUUCAUCUUUACUCGAUUUCUACGUAUAGGGCAGUGACCAAGUCUUCAUAUCCGCGAAGUUACGGUGAUCCGAAUCAAUUAUACUCAGCUGAGGAUCUUCAAUCACACGACAUAUGUAGCACUUAACCCUUGCAUAUGUCAACUCGCCACCGGGGUUCUUAAGACCAGAUCAGGUUCACGCAAACCGAGAGCACAGAUACACCACCGUCCAGCCUCCUGCCACGGAGGGUACACGCUACUCUCACCAUCUCUCCACUCCCAUUGCGUGUUAUCUUAUUCUGGUAUUAGUCUGCCCGAGGCAAAGCUUACCCAUGAUGAGGCAUGUGACCAGUUAAAGGGUCCUCGGUUAGCAAGCCUACAUCGACAUGGUCCUUAAUCGACUCAGACGGAGACACUACAUCGAGACUCUCUUCUCGUGCAAGUCACCCGCCCGGUCUCAACUUUAUCAUUUCAAACCCAAAGUUUGGUACCUGGCAGAGGUACAUCUUUUCCGAGGUUGAACCCAUCAUGGCCAUGAUGGAUUCACCAUCAAAUUUUGUUUUUGAAAAACAUCCCUCCCACUUUGCAUCAUCAUCUUUUGUGAAAACAAAACAUUUUGUUUUUCUAGAGCAAAGCUAAGCAUAAGAAAAACCUUUUGUAAAACACGGAUUUAAGGAGAAAUACUCAAAUCCAAGGAAGGAAAUGCAGGAAUUGGUUUAGCACACAACUCCUAUCACCUAAUGCAUCAAGUAAGUGAGAAAGAUUUUAAAAGGAACAAGGAGGUGGCAAAUGCACCAGGGCUUUCCUUGUGUUACUGGUGAAUCAGGCUCUAUUCCGCAGAUAUCAAAAUAAAAACAGUUGCCUGCCUGAUGUUCCUCAGGUGGUGGUGGUGAUGAAGUCCUUGUCUCUUCGACUUCUACUUCCUCUUCGUUUCUAGAUAUAACCAUAUAUAAUCAUGAAUGCACAUGUAAUGCUCAUGAAAAUGCAAAGAUAAUAAAAGUUUAUUAUCUAAGGUAUUGAAUAUAACUUUCCUUCACGGAUCUCCGAGAAACUAGGGUUCGCGGAGUCAAUAGUGAAGUUCAAAGGGCAAGGGCUAGGUUUUUGGGUUCUAAGUAUCAAACAUGGUCUAAAUCAUACCAAACUUUACCCAAGGCUUCUAAAUAUUAUUUAGAGUUUACCCUAAAAGUUUAGUGAAUUUUGGAUUUAUUAUUUAUUCUCUAAAAAUACAAAAGCAUGGUUUUUGGCUAUUUUAAAUGCUCUAUAAUUUCUUAUUUGGACUAAAAAUCAUGAAACUAUUUUUAUUAAAUACUAUAGGAAAUUAGAAGCCUAGAAAAAUUGGUCUUGUAUUUUUAGAUUUUUUCUACAAUUUUCUAGGUAUUCUUUAAUCCAGGAAGAAAAAGAAAAGGAAAAGCCAUGAAUAGUGUUGGGCUGAAUUCAGCCCAACUAGCCCACAGCAGGGGAGAACUCCACACGCGCCCGCGCCCACGGGGCAGUUUAACACGGGAGCCCUCCGGGGUUUGAAUAUCUAUAGAAAAACCUUGCACCCUAUUUAACUGAGUCACUGACACAUUACAAAAACCCCCUGCUAGUUCUAUUUCUUCGCAGGCCGAGGUCCACGACGGCGAACGGCGCUGGGUUGCGCUCCGGCGAGCAUACACCGGCCAAUUUACUCAAUGACCGGUGCCCUAUUUCGGCAGAAACCGAAUUCAAGGCCUAAGGAUCAUUUCCCCUCAACAAAUUUCACGAAUGGUGAUCUAACCCGCUCUGUCUACGGUGAUAGCGGGCAUCAUGUACAUUUAACCGCGUUCCUGGUGAUCUAAGAUAGCUUAGCUCAAUCGAGUUGGUCAGGGAGUAUCAGGGGCACACAAGAACGCUAAAACGGGAGGGCAGAGGAUAUGAGUGGACCUGAGACGCGCUGACCACGGCGAGGUCAAACCGAGCGGCGUUCUUGAGUGAUUUGGGGGAAAUGAGAAAUUGGAGCUCUCUGGUGAACAAUUGGAGGCACGACUUGGUGGCUUGGUGCGUGAUUACCAUACGGACCUGACAUUGCGCUCAAUUUAUAGAGUCUGUGAGCGGUGGCCGGUGAAUUGGACGAAGACGCGCGGCGGUCGGAGAAACAGGAAGUUACUGGCGCGCGUGAUUGGUGUCCUAUUACCGUGGCAAGCUCCCCGGUGAUGAACGGACGGCUAAUGUGAGUCACAGUGAUGCGGUGGAUGUGCUAAGGCACGUGGCGCAAGGCCGUGAAGCGGCUAUCUCCAGCGAACUCAUCCGAAUCCGCCGUGGCUAGCUCGGGUAUAGUGGUCGGUGUAAUUUAGUGGCCGGAGCAUAUCCACGGUGUGAUAUUUACUGACCCCCGACGCUAUCCAACUGAUCUGAGCGCGAAAGAACGAAUCUGCGCGUAGCUCGUCGGUGGCGAGGCACUGAGCUGGCGAUCUGAUGAGCGCACUGUACCAUCGCGAACCUUAUUCAGUUGGUCUGACCGAGCUCUUUUGAGGGCAAUUUGUGCCAAAUUUUGUGUAGUGACCAGACCACCACUCUGCAGCAAAGUUGUAGCCUAAUGAUCCAGCUACAAACUUACAAUAGCAACCAUAGCCAAACUCUCACAAGAUCAUGGUUGAAUCUCAGUCCAAGGAUUACUCAAUCACAUUGUCAGUCUGAGUUCAGACUUAAGACAGUCUGACAGCUCAACUUUGGGCACACUUUUCUCAAAAUACUUCAUGGUACCAAGGCAUGAUCUCUAUAGCAAAGUUAUUCUCCUUCCAUAGGUCUAUCAACUUGAUGUGGUGACCUAGUGCAAAAACUUUAUAACUUGGAAGAUAUAGGGCUCCAAAGUUGAGCCAAAUGCAUUGAAAUCAGACUUAAUAGGGUUCAAAUAGGGCUUUUUGCAAAUAGGCCCAAAACUUAGGGUUUAAGUUGCAAAUCCACACACAUGUGAACCAUAUGAGUUAAGAUACCCUAAUCUCAUGAUUUUUUUCACUUUAGUCCAAAAGUGCACUAAUUUUGCACUUAGCCCCCUAGGGUUUUAGUCUAGGGUUUUCCAAGGUUCUUUUUAGUGUUUUUGGUGCUCUUAGGGUUUGGACUUCCCUUAAAUUCAUUAAUGGUGGUAUUUUAUGAUAAAUAUUAUCAAGUUUUGAAGUUUUCUCUUGUUUAGGCUUUGGUUACCCCUUUAAGCUCAAUUUAGGGUUAAACACUGUACCCUAGGGUUUCACUUAUGAAAUGUCACAUCAAUACAACUUGUUUGAACUUUUGCCUAGUAAAUGUAUUCUAGGUGUGACAAACACAUGAUAUGUCAAUGCUUAUGAUGUUAUGCUCAAGUUUUAGUGGCAGUAACACCAGGGGUGUUACAUCCUUCCCCCCAUAAAAGAAUCUCGUCCCGAGAUUAAAAGCUCUAGGGCAAGUAAUGGAAAAGGAAACACGACACAUCUUUAUUUCCUUAUUUUUGGUAUAAAGCAGGGGUGGUAUGGGGUUCAUUCCUCUAUUGCAACAAAUGUACACAUUUUACAAAUUACAUGAAGCUAAAAAGCCUGGGAAAUUCUUUUCUAAAAAGUCUUGAGUUUCCCAUGUAGCCUCAUCUUCUGAAUGUUGGUUCCACUAUAUCUUGUAGAACUUGAGAGUUUUCCUUCGGGUAAUUCUGUCCUUUUGAUCCAAGACUCGAAUCGGAUGUUCUGAAUAUGUCAAGUCUAGUCUUAAGGCAACAUCCGUUACUUCAAUAGUUCGAUCGGGAACCCGAAGACACUUCUUCAAUUGAGACACGUGGAACACAUUAUGCACUGCAGACAAGGUUUUGGGUAACUGAAGUCGGUAUGCUACUGGUCCGCACUGUUCAAGGAUAGGAAAAGGACCAAUAUACCGGGGUGCAAGCUUCCCUUUUACCCCGAAACGUGAUACACCCUUCAUUGGUGAAACUUUCAAGUAGACAUAAUAUCCAACUAGAAAGUACAAGGGUAUCCGGCGUUUGUCUGCGUAACUCUUCUGUCGGGCUUAGGCUUCCUUUAAAUUAUGAAUUAUCCGUUGAACUUUCUCUUCUGUCUCCUUUACCAUAUCAGGUCUGAAGAAAUUUCUUUCACCUGGUUCAAACCAGUUUAACGGAGUACGACAUCGUCGUCCAUAUAAAGCUUCAAAAGGUGCCAUUUUGAUGCUCUCUUGAUAGCUAUUAUUGUAUGAGAACUCCGCUAAUGGUAAACAAUCAUCCCAUUUCUGUGGGAAUUCCAGAACACAUGCUCGCAACAUAUCUUCAAGUAUUUGAUUCACUCUCUCAGUCUGCCCACUGGUUUGAGGAUGAUAGGCCGAACUAUGGAGCAACUUAGUAUCCAAAGCCUUGUGAAGUUCUUCCCAAAAUUUGGACACGAAUUGCGGUCCACGAUCCGACUAUAGUCUUCGGAACACCGUGCAAAUUGAGGAUGCGAGCAAUGUACAACUCUGCAUAUGUGGCCACUGUAUACUUUACCCUGACAGGAAGAAAGUGGGUGAUCUUUGUAAGUCGAUCAACAAUAACCCAGAUAGAAUCAUAUCCUUUUGCUGUCCUGGGUAACCCCACAAUGAAGUCCAUACUAAUAUCCUCCCAUUUCCAGGUUGGUAUAGGUAAGGAUUGUAAUGGACCAGCAGCUUUCAUGUGUAUGGCCUUGACACGUCUGUAAGUGUCACAUCUUGCCACAUAGCGUGCGAUUUCAAUCUUCAUCUUUGUCCACCAAUAAUGCUGCUUUAGAUCAUGAUACAUCUUAGUGCUUCCGGGAUGAAUAGAAUAGCGACUAAGAUGUGCUUCAUCUAGAAUUUGCUAGCGGACCUUAUCAUUUUUAGGCACAACUAUGCGGUUGUUAAACCAUACAACACCUUGAUCAUCUCUUUUGAAGCAGUUGGCUUUACCGACUUCUAUUUUCUCAUGAAUGUGUUUCAUUCCCUCAUCAUUUCUUUGUGCGUCAAUUAUUCUUUGCAGGAGGACUGACUCAAGCUUCAAGUGAUUUGAAGUUCCAUGCUGAAUCAUUCCCAGGUUUAGCUUCUCCAUUUCUUGGCAUAACGUAAUGUCAGAAGUCUUUAUCGUCAAACAAUGGCAGGAAGCCUUGCGACUUAAUGCAUCUGCCACUACAUUAGCUUUGCCUGGGUGAUAGUGAAUCUCUAAUUCAUAAUCCUUGAUCAGCUCCAGCCACCUCCUUUGCCUCAUAUUAAGCUCUGACUGGGUAAAGAUGUACCUCAAACUUUUAUGAUCUGUAUAAAUGUGACAGAUAUUUCCCAGAAGAUAAUGACGCCAUAUUUUUAGGGCAUGAACCACUGCGGCUAACUCCAGGUCAUGAGUUGGAUAAUGCUCCUCAUGCCAGCGCAACUGCCUUGAAGCAUAAGCUAUCACUCGGCCUUCUUGCAUUAGAACACAGCCGAGACCACUGUCUGAUGCGUCACAAUACACAUCGAAGGGCUUUUCAAUGUCCGAUUGAGCCAAUACCGGAGCAGUGGUUAAUAAUACUUUCAGCUGCUCAAAGGCUUCAUUAGAUGUUGAAGACCAAUUAAAUUUAGCAUCACUCUUCAAUAAACUUGUGAUUGGUUUCACAAGCUUGGAAAAAUCUGGUAUGAAUCGGCGGUAAUAACCAGCCAGUCCAAGGAAACUUUGGACUUGAUGUACAAUGGUUGGGGGUUUCCACUCCAAAAUAUCCAUGACUUUGCUGGGAUCCAUCAUAAUCCCCUUGGCAGAUAAUACAUGUCCCAGAAAUUGGAUCUCCUCCAGCCAGAAUGGGCACUUACUGAACUUAGCAUAUAAUUGGUGUUCCCUUAAGCGCGUUAAUAUGAUCCGUAAAUGCCGAGCAUGCUCCUCUUCAUUCUUGGAGUAUAUUAAGAUAUCGUCAAUGAAUACUACCACAAAUUUGUCCAACUCGGGCAUAAAUACCGAGUUCAUCAGAUAUGUGAAGUAGGCAGGAGCAUUUGUCAGUCCGAAAGACAUAACCAGAUAUUCAAAUAAUCCAUACCGCGUGGUGAAUGCGGUCUUGGUAUAUCUUCGGGUCGGAUAUGGAUUUGAUGAUAACCCGACCUGAGGUCAAUCUUGGAGAAUACCCGAGCUCCGGUAAGUUGAUCAAAUAGAAUGUCAAUCCGGGGAAGAGGGUACUUAUUCUUGAUAGUGACCUCAUUAGGGGGUCUAUACUCCACGCACAUCCACAGUGUUUGGUCCUUCUUCUUGACAAAGAUGGCUGGACAACCCCAAGGUGAUGAACUUGGUCGGAUAAACCCUUUUUCGAGUAGAUCUUGUAAUUGGGUCUUGAGUUCUGCCAAUUCAUUCAGAGGCAUUCGGUACGACCUUCUAGAAAUAGGAGUCGUACCGGGCUUCAACUCAAUCACAAAUUCUACAUCUCUUUCUGGAGGCAAUCCCGGCAGAUCUUCCGGGAAGACGUCUGGAAACUCACAUACUACCGGAAUAUCUUGGAUCUCCAGUAUAAUGGCUUCAUAUACUCUGCCACAUGGUUUAGCUGGAAUAGCUAUGAGGAUAGACAGAAGAACCUCUUCUUGGCCAUAACUCAACCUGAUGGUUCUCAGAUCAGUGUUGAGGAUUGCUUUAUGCUGGGCUAACUAAUUCAUGCCCAAAAUUACAUCUAUGUCUUGGCCUUUUAGAACAAUCAUGUUUGUAGGAAAGUCCCGUUUAGCCAAUGUUACGGGCACAUGGUAAGCCACUUCUUUAGUAAAUAUUUGUCCCCCAAGCGAAUGAAUUAUAAACCCUUCCCUUGAUUCAUGGUAUGGAAUGCAAUGUUGCUCCACAAACUUCUUGCUUAUGAAUGUAUGUGAAGCGCUAGAAUAAAAAAGAAUAACUGCGGGGUGAUUGGCCACGAGAAACGUACCCAUCAUAACCGGUUCGCCUUCCGGUAUUGUGGCCACUUGAGUAUAAUAAAUCCGCCCCGUCUUCCUCAUAUUUUUGCCCGCGGUAUUGUUUGCCGCAUUUCCCUUGACUUGAGCGGAACUCCCGGAACUCUGCUGAUUAUUUGAUCGAUUCUGCUUUGGGUAUGGACAGUCCUUGAUAAAAUGUCUAGACUUUCCACAAUUAAAGCAGCUUGUUGAAGAGCUUGGGAGAUCGGGAAAACGAGUACUAGGGGUACUCGGCUGAUUUGUGGCGGUGGGGGAAGCGGUAGGACGGAUAAAACUGGUUGUUUGAAAGGGUAGGAGGGUGGGCGCGAUGAAGAACGAUUCUAAUUAAAAGGUCAGAUUACCAACCUUUGUCUUUUCUCAGGCCCCUUAUUGGGCCUGUCGCCUCCAUUCCCCUUUGAUUUUCCUGAGCCUGCAUAUUUGGCCUCAACUGCCAGCGCCGUGCCGACAGCCCUUCCGUAAGAAAGAUCAAUGCAAGUGGCCAUCUUUCGUUGCAUUCGAUCAUUAAGGCCUCUCAUGAAGCAAUUUCUCUUCUUUAAAUCCGUGUUGAUUUGAUCGAUAGCAUAUUGGGACAAGUGGUUAAAGUUGUUGAGAUACUGAGUGACAGUAUCCCCACCCUGUUUGAGCUUCAAAAACUCCUCCUGCUUCAUAUGGAGUACCCCUUCAGGUAUAUAGUGCUCCCGGAAAGCCAAUUUGAACUCGUCCCAUGUAAUUUGAUGGUCGGCCGGCUGAAUGGUUACAUAAUUUCCCCACCAUGUACUAGCAGGGCCUCGCAACUGUUGUGCCGCAAAUAAGGGCUUUUGAGUCUCCGUACAUCGGAGAAGCCCGAACUUUUGUUCGAUAACGCGGAUCCACUCAUCCGCUUCCAGAGGAUCUUCCGCCUUGACAAACAAUGGGGGACGUGUCUCUGAGAAAUCCAGAUAUGAUGUUUCACGGGGUCCUUGCGGAUACGCUCGCCUGCCUUGCUGCUGCAUUUAUUGUCCUGCCAUUUCCCGCAGAAAGCAGGUGUUGUCAGCUGUGGCAUUAACUAAGGCAGCGAUGGCCUCAGCUAAUGUUGGAGGUACUGGGGGUGGAUUAGGGGUUGCUUCCCUCCCACGGGAGGUUCCUGCCCCAUCCUGUGCGCGAGUCUUGGACGAUAUCUGAGGCAAAGAACAUUUGGAGAAAUAUAAUAUGCCAAAGCAAACCAUCCAUUUUACAUUACUGAAAAGGGUAAUGUUACAAACUCGAAUUUACAACAGGAUUACAUUACCUAUUACACAUUAUUACUACUUCUAUACUACACUACUCUAGCUUCUUGUCACUUUUGGUAGCCUCGCUGUCAGGUGUAGGAGACCAUUCGUCGACCAAAUUCAUUGAAGGAGGGGGCCUGAAAAGGUCUAGUUCCCCUCCAAGGGCUUCACCCGCUGCUCCAGAUGGUCCGGCUCCCAUCACGAUAGGAUCCACAGGGACGUUAGGGUGAAGUUGUUAAUACAAUACAUGAACUUCCUCAUGUAGUGUAUUACAAUAAACCUGCAAGUUUUCCAUGGCUAAGCUAAGCUCCUCCAUGCGGGCUCGAGCUCUAGCUUCCUUGGCCCAAGCAAGGGAAUGAGAAUUAACCGCCCAAUCGAGCGCUAGAUCCCGUUCAGCCAGGUUGUCUUGCAGGUGGCGGAUGUCUGUUCUCAAUUCAUUUAUUCUUUCACCAUCCGCGACCCAUAUAUCAUUCCUGUGACGAAGUUCUGAUCGAAGCUGUUCAACUUGGGCUUCUAGAUCCCCGAUUGGAUCGUUGCUACCACUGUUACAGUCUUCAUGCCGUGGGGCUAGUUGAUGGCAGGGUACACCAAUUGGCCUGGUAGACUUGCGCGCGGUCUUUCUUGUGCGUGGCGGCAUAUCUCCAUGAGGGGAAAAUCUUAUUAGCAUAGUUUUUAACAUGAUGCAUGUGUAAUUAUAGAAUCAACCUUAGUUGAUUCACACCUUCUAUACAUUGCACUCUAUUAUCUGGUCUUUAAAAUAAGUACCUCAGAAGGUGAUUGGAUAAGAAGGAAAGAAAUUUUCUAGAUAAGUCUUUGAAAAAUUCUUUUUGAAAAUGUCUCAUAACAUCUGCAGAGAUGGGCUUCGCUCCGAUACCAGCUGUGACGGAACCUCCCAAGUUAUUAGGCCCACCUAAAGUUGUCCUUGUCCAACGGACUUCAAACAACCCUGCAGGUGCACCUGAUCACUUGACAAGUUCGGUAUCUGAAUUCCUUACCUUUCCCAAGAGCGUUUCACCCAUCACACAGAUAUUACAAUACAUCGGAGAUACGGAAAUGCGGAAGCAGUUACAGUAACUUACUUUAUUGAUAAGUAAGACAAAGUUAUAUAGUUACAGACCAGAACCAAAAUAUAUGAGUACAGAGUAUUAUUAUUACAUAACAUGGGAGGCAAAACUCCUCCCGAAUAAGCAGUAACAAGUUUUUCUUAACGGAGGACCUUUCCUCCGCAGCUUUAGUCUUGGUUCUCUUCUUUUGGUACCACCUUUGAACAGAAGCAACAAAAGUUUGCUGCUUCUUCACCUAAAACAACAUGGGACAAAGCCCUGAGUACGAAGUGUACUUUCGCAAGACUUACCCAACAAAGUAAAAGACUCUCAAGGAUAUGCUGGCUUUAAGGGAGUCAAGGUAAGGCUUAUCAAUAAUCAAUGACUCUGUUUGCAGAAAUGCUUACUAACGGUGGAUCCUUAAAAAUCUAGUUUUAUUUGUCAGGUUAUGUAAAAUUACCUGUAACUAGAGUUCUUUCUACCCUAGUUCAAUCACUUGAUCUAUACUAUUCAAUUUCUUAACAACCCUUCAUCUUUACUCGAUUUAUACGUACAGGGCAGUGACCAAGUCUUCAUAUCCGCGAAGUUACGGCGAUCCUAAUCGAUUAUACUCAGCUGAGGAUCUUCAAUCACACGACAUAUGUAGCACUUAACCCUUGCAUAUGUCAACUCGCCACCAGGGUUCUUAAGACCAGAUCAGGUUCACGCCAACCGAGAGCACAGAUACACCACCGUCCAGCCUCUUGCCACGGAGGGAACACACUACUCUCACCAUCUCUCCACUCCCAUUGCGUGUUAUCUUAUUCUGGUAUUAGUCUACCCGAGGCAAAGCUUACCCAUGAUGAGGCAUGUGACCAGUUAAAGGGUCCUCGGUCAGCAAGCCUACAUCGACACGGUCCUUAAUCGACUCAGACGGAGACACUACACCGAGACUCUCUUCUCGUGCAAGUUGCCCGCCCGGUCUCAGCUUUAUCAUUUCAAACCCAAAGUUUGGUACCUGGCAGAGGUACAUCUUUUCCGAGGUUCAACCCAUCAUGGCAAUGAUGGAUUCACCAUCAAAUUUUGUUUUUGAAAAACAUCCCUCCCACUUUGCAUCAUCAUCUUUUGUGAAAACAAAACAUUUUGUUUUUCUAGAGCAAAGCUAAGCAUAAGAAAAACCUUUUGUAAAACAGGGAUUUAAGGAGAAAUACUCAAAUCCAAGGAAGGAAAUGCAGGAAUUGGUUUAGCACACAACUCCUAUCACCUAAUGCAUCAAGUGAGUGAGAAAGAUUUUAAAAGGAACAAGGAGGUGGCAAAUGUACCGGGGCUUGCCUUGUGUUACUGGUGAAUCAGGAUCUGUUCCACAGAUAUCAAUAUAAAAAUAGUUACCUGCCUGAUGUUCAUCAGGUAGUGGUGGUGAUGAAGUCCUUGUCUCUUCGACUUCUACUUCCUCUUCGUUUUCUAGAUAUAACCAUAUAUAAUCAUGAAAUCUCAUGUAAUGCUCAUGAAAAUGCAAAGAUAAUAUAAGUUUAUUAUCUAAGGUCUUGAAUAUAACUUUCCUUCAUGGAUCUCCGAGAAACUAGGGUUCGCGGAGUCAAUAAUGAAGUUCAAAGGGCAGGGGCUAGGUUUUUGGGUUCUAAGUAUCAAACAUGGUCCAAAUCAUACCAAACUUUACCCAAGGCUUCUAAAUAUUAUUUAGAGUUUACCCUAAAAGUUUAGUGAAUUUUGGAUUUAUUAUUUAUUCUCUAAAAAUCCAGAAGCAUGGUUUUUGGCUAUUCUAAAUGCUCUAUAAUUUCCUAUUUGGACUAAAAAUCAUGAAACUAUUUUUAUUAAAUACUAUAGGAAAUUAGAAGCCUAGCAAAAUUGAUCUUGUAUUUUUAGCAUUUUUAUACAAUUUUUUAGGAAUUCUUUAAUCCAGGAAGAAAAAGAAAAGGAAAAGCCAUGAAUAGUGUUGGGCUGAAUUCAGCCCAACCAGCCCACAGCAGGGGAGAACUCUACACGCGCCCGCGCUCGCGGGACAAUUUUACACGGGAGCCCUCCGGGGUUUGAAUAUCUAUAGAAGAACCCUGCGCCCUAUUUAAUUGAGUCACUGACACAUUACAAAAACCACCUGCUAGUUCUAUUUCUUCGUAGGCCGAGGUCCACGACGGCGAACGGCGCUGGGCUGCGCUCCGGCGAGCGUACACCGGCCAAUUUACUCAAUGACCGGCGCCCUAUUUUGGCAGAAACCUAAUUCAAGACCUAAGGAUCGUUUCCCCUCAACUAAUUUCACGAACGGUGAUCUAACCUGCUCUGUCUACGGUGACAGCGGGCAUCGUGGACAUUUAACCGCGUUCCCGGCGAUCUAAGAUAGCUUAGCUCAAUCAAGUUGGUCAGGGAGUAUCAGGGGCACACAAGAACGCUAAAACGGGAGGGUAGAGGAUAUGAGCAGACCUGAGACGCGUUGGCCACGGCGAGGUCAAACCGAGCGGUGUUCUUGAGUGAUUUGGGGGAAAUGAGAAAUUGGAGCUCUCUGGUGAACAAUUGGAGGCAUGACUUGGUGGCUUGGUGCAUGAUUACCCUACGGACCCGACGGUGCGCUCAAUUUAUAGAGUCUGUGAGCGGUGGCCGGUGAAUUGGAUGAAGACGCGUGGCGGUCGGAGAAACAGGAAGUUAUUGGCGCGCAUGAUUGGUGUCCUAUUACCGUGGCAAGCUCCCCGGCGAUGAACGGAUGGCUAAUGCGAGUCACGGCGAUGCGGUGGAUGUUCCAAGGCACGUGGCGCAAGGCCGUGAAGUGCCUGUCUACGGCGAACUCAUCCGAAUCCACCGUGGCUAGCUCGGGUACGAUGGUCGGAGUAAUUUAGUGGCCGGAGCAUAUCCACGGUGUGAUAUUUACUGACCCCCAGCGCUAUCCAACUGAUCUGAGCGCGAAUCACGGCGGCGAAAGCACGAAUCCGCGCGCAGCUCGUCGGCGGCGAGGGCACUGAGCUGGCGAUCUGAUCAGUGCACUGUACCAUUGAGAGCACCUAGAGGGGGGGUGAAUAUGUGAUCCUGUAAAAACUUCAAACUUACAGCCACAAACUUGAUUAAGUGUUAGAGCAAUAAAGCUAAGUGGCUAGAGAGGAGUUCUUGUAAAACACACCAACCACAAAGAGAUCAACACAGAGAGGCACAGUGAUUUAUCCCGUGGUUCGGCCAAGUUCAACACUUGCCUACUCCACGUUGUGGUGUCCCAACGGACGAGGGUUGCAAUCAACCCCUCUCAAGUGAUUCAAAGAUCCACUUGAAUACCACGGUGUUUCUUUCUUUCACUAUUUCCCGUUUGCGAGGAAUCUCCACAACUUGGAGUCUCUCGCCCUUACAAAAGAUUAUCACAAAUGAACACGGAAGUAAGGAUGGGAUGAGCAACACACACAAGUCCACAGCAAUACGCACACACACGGCCAAGACUUGAGCUCAAAUGAAUAUCUCAAAGUUCUCACUAAAACGGAGCUCAAAUCACUAAGAAUGUCAAACGAGUGCGCAAAGACGAAGUGUGAAUGAUCAAGAAUGCUCAAAGUGUGCUUAGUGUCAUCCUUCAUGCGCCUAGGGGUCCCUUUUAAAGCCCCAAGGCAGCUAGGAGCCGUUGAGAGCAUUCCAGGAAGACAAUUCUUGCCUUCUGUCGAUUGGCGCACCUGACAGUCCGGUGCACCACCGGACACUGUCCGGUGCGGAUUUCUUUCCUAUUCUGGCGCAGCCGACCGUUGAAGGUUUGGAGCCAUUGGCGCACCGGACACUGUCCGGUGCAUACCGGACAGUCCGGUGCCCCCUUCAGACCGUUGGCCCGGCCACACGUCACGUGCGGAUUGCGCGGCCGACCAUUGGCUCGACCGACUGUUGGCUCACCGGACAGUCCGGUGAAUUUUAGUCGUACGUCGCCGCCGAAAUCCCGAGAGCGGCCUUUUCACCAGAGCCAGCCUGGCGCACCGGACACUGUCCGGUGCACCACCGGACAGUCCGGUGCACUCAGACUGAGCAGAGUCUUGGCUGCUCGAGCCAAGUCUUUUCCAAUUGUCUUUUCUCUGAUUCUAGCACUUAGACAAAUAUGUUAGUACACAAAAACCAAUGUACUAAGUCUAGAAUCAUACCUUUGUAUUGAUUUGCACUUUGUCCACCCUUUGACAUAUACUCAUUCCCUUAAUGUGUGUUGGGCACUUAAUCACCAAAAUCUUGUAGAAAUGGCCCAAGGGCACAUUUCCCUUUCAAUCUCCCCCUUUUUGGUGAUUUAUGCCAACACAACAAAAAGCAACAUAUAGAAGUGCAACAUCAAUGCAAAUAAGAACAAGAAUUUGUUUUGAUUCAAAUUUGGCAUAUUUGGAUCAUUCUUUGCCACCACUUGGUUUGUUUUUGCAAAUACAACUCAAUUUCCUAUCUCUAAUUCACUUGUUGAGACAUAGAGAGGGGUAUUCCAAUAGAAAUUGAUCAAAGAUUCAAAAACUCCCCCUAUUUCCCAUAAUCAAACAUUCUCCCCACAAGAGACCAACUUUUGACAAAGAGAAACACUUAGAAUAUUUUGACAAAACAAAAGCUCUAAUUCUACUUUUUCAAAAUUCUCAAGUGGUAGCUGAUCCAUUUCUUGCUUUGGCCUUAUUUUCUCCCCCUUUGGCAUCAAGCACCAAAACGGGAUCGAUCUUGGCCCUUUUAACCUCAUUGCCUCACCAAAAUUGUCAAUUAAGAGCAAAAGGCAAUAAGAGUGUGGAGAUGAACUUGGAGUAAGUUACCCUCUCAUCGGAGUGCAGUGGAAGUCUUUCAUGGUCCAAGUCCACCUUUCCCUUUCAAUCCACCUUUGAGACUAAAUCAAGCAAGCUCAAACAUAUGGUUAGUCUCAAAGGGUCAAGUUGUAACACAUCUCCCCCUAAAUAUGUGCAUCACUUGCAAAUGGACUUGUGAGGUAUGGGGAGUGCUUGUACAACUUGAGCACCAUAAAUAAACAACAAAAUGCAUAGACGGGACAUGAUCAAAGGCAUAGGACACAUGUAUCCUAUAAAUCAAUCCAGGUUCCGCGAAUCUAAGACAUUUAGCUCACUACGCAGCCUGCAAAAGGUCUUCUCAUCUAGAGGCUUGGUAAAGAUAUCGGCUAGCUGGUUUUCGGUGCUAACAUAAAACACUUCGAUAUCUCCCUUUUGCUGGUGGUCUCUCAAAAAGUGAUGCCGAAUGUCUAUGUGCUUAGUGCGGCUGUGUUCAACAGGAUUAUCCGCCAUGCGGAUAGCACUCUCAUUAUCACAUAGGAGUGGGACUUUGCUAAGAUUGUAGCCAAAGUCCCUGAGGGUUUGCCUCAUCCAAAGUAGUUGCGCGCAACACUGUUCUGCGGCAACGUACUCAGCCUCAGCGGUGGAUAGGGCAGCGGAAGUUUGUUUCUUAGAACUCCAAGACACCAGGGACCUUCCUAGAAUUGGCACGUCCCUGAUGUACUCUUCCUAUCAACCUUACAUCCAGCAUAAUCGGAGUCUGAAUAUCCAAUCAAGUCAAAGGUAGACCCCUUUGGAUACCAGAUUCCGAAGCAAGGCGUAGCGACUAAAUAUCUAAGAAUUCGCUUCACGGCCACUAAGUGACACUCCCUUGGAUCGGAUUGAAAUCUAGCACACAUGCAUACACUAAGCAUAAUAUCUGGUCUACUUGCACAUAAGUAAAGUAAGGAACCUAUCAUAGACCGGUAUGCUUUUUGAUCAACGGACUUACCUCCUUUGUUGAGGUCGACGUGUCUGUCAGUUCCCAUUGGAGUCUUUGCGAGCUUGGCGUCCUUCAUCCCAAAUCGCUUGAUCAAGUCUUGCGUGUACUUCGUUUGAGAGAUGAAGGUGCCGUCCUUGAGUUUCUUCACUUGGAACCCAAGGAAGUAGUUCAACUCGCCCAUCAUCGAUAUCUCGAAUUUCUGCGUCAUCACCCUGCUAAACUGUGGUCGGGGUACCGUUCAUCCUCAAAGCCAGGGGGUUGCUCUACGUACACCUCCUCCUUGAUUGUCCCAUUGAGGAAGGCGCUCUUCACAUCCAUUUGGAACAACCUGAAAGAAUGGUGAGCGGCAUAGGCUAACAAUAUGCGAAUUGACUCUAGCCUAGCCACAGGAGCAAAAGUCUCCUCAAAGUCCAAACCUGCGACUUGGGCAUAACCUUUUGCCACAAGUCGUGCCUUGUUCCUUGUCACCACCCCGUGCUCAUCCUAUUUGUUGCGGAACACCCACUUGGUUCCUACAACGUUUUGCUUGGGACGUGGCACCAGUGUCCAAACUUCAUUUCUCUUGAAAUUGUUGAGCUCCUCCUGCAUGGCCAACACCCAGUCCGGAUCUAGCAAGACCUCUUCUACCCUGAAAGGCUCAAUAGAAGAGACAAAAGAGUAAUGCUCACAAAAAUUAACUAAUCUAGAGCGAGUAGUUACUCCCUUGCUAAUAUCACCCAAUAUCUGGUCGACAGGAUGAUUCCUUUGAAUCGUCGCUCGAACUUGAGUUGGAGGGGCUUGAGGUGCUUCUUCCUCCAUAACAUGAUCAUCUUGUGCUCCCCCUUGAUCACACGCCUCUUCUUGAUGAACCUGUUCAUCGUCUUGAGUUGGGGGUUGCACCAUUGUUGAGGAAGAAGGUUGAUCUUGCUCUUGGAGUUCCUGUGGUCGCACUUCUCCAAUCGCCAUGGUGCGAAUUGCGUCCGUUGGAACAUCAUAUUCAUCUACAUCAUUAGGAUCAACAACUUGCUCUCUUGGAGAGCCAUUAGUCUCAUCAAAUACAACGUCGCUAGAGACUUCAACCAAACCCGAUGAUUUGUUGAAGACCCUAUACGUCUUUGUAUUUGAGUCAUAACCUAACAAAAAACCUUCUACAGCUUUGGGAGCAAAUUUGGAAUUUCUACCCUUCUUCACUAGAAUAUAACAUUUGCUCCCAAAUACACGAAAGUAUGAAACGUUGGGUUUGUUACCGGUUAGAAGCUCAUACGAGGUCUUCUUGAGGAGGCGAUGAAGAUAGACCCGGUUUAUGGCAUGGCAAGCCGUGUUCACAGCUUCCGACCAAAACCGCUUGGGUGUCUUGAAUUCUCCAAGCAUCGUUCUCGCCAUGUCUAUGAGCGUCCUGUUCUUCCUCUCUACCACACCAUUUUGCUAUGGUGUGUAUGGGGCGGAGAACUCGUGCUUGAUUCCUUCCUCCUCAAGGUACUCCUCCACUUGAAGGUUCUUGAACUCGGACCCGUUGUCGCUCCUUAUCUUCUUCACCUUGAGCUCAAACUCAUUUUGAGCUCUCCUUAGGAAGCGCUUGAGGUUCCCUUGGGUUUCAGAUUUAUCCUGCAAAAAGAAUACCCAAGUGAAGCGGGAAAAAUCAUCAACAAUUACUAAACCAUACUUACUUCCCCCGAUGCUAAGGUAGGCGACGGGUCCGAAGAGGUCCAUAUGCAGCAGCUCCAGGGGUCUUGAUGUGGUCAUUACGUUCUUGCUGUGAUGAGCAUUUCCCACUUGUUUACCUGCUUGACAGGCUGCACAAGGUCUAUCUUUUUUGAAAGUCACAUUUGUUAGACCUAACACAUGUUCUCCCUUUAGAAGUUUGUGAAGGUUCUUCAUCCCCACAUGUGGUAAACAGCGAUGCCACAACCAGCCUAUGCUAGUCUUAGCAAUUAAGCAUGCAUCUAGACCGGCCUCCUCUUUUGCAAAAUCAACUAAAUAAAGUUUGUCGUCUAGUACACCCUUAAAAGCUAAUGAACCAUCACUCCUUCUAAAGACAGACACAUCUACAUUUGUGAAUAAGCAAUUAUAACCCAUAUUACAAAGUUGACUAACGGAUAACAAGUUAUAACCGAGCGACUCAACUAAAAACACAUUAGAAAUGGAGUGCUCGGAUGAAAUAGCAAUCUUUCCUAACCCUUUAACCUUGCCUUGAUUCCCGUCACCGAAUAUGAUUGAAUCUUGGGAAUCUUUGUUCUUGACGUAGGAGGUAGACAUCUUCUUCUCCCCCGUCAUGUGGUUUGUGCAUCCACUGUCGAUAAUCCAGCUUGAGCCCCCGGAUGCAUAAACCUGCAAGACAAUUUAGGCUUGGGUUUUAGGUACCCAACUCUUGUUGGGUCCUACAAGGUUAGUAACAAUGAUUUUAGGGACCCAAAUGCAAGUUUUAUCUCCCUUGCACUUUGCCCCUAAUUUCCUAGCAAUCACCUUCUUAUCCUUUCUACAAAUUGCAAAGGAAGUAUUGCAAGCAUGAUAGAUUGUAGAAGGUUCAUUAACUAUUUUCCUAGGAACAUGAGCAAUAUUUCUCCUAGGCAUAUGAUUAAUGACAUUUUUCCUAGGCAUAUCUCUACCAUGCACAUAGGAAGAACUUGAAGCAAACAUUGCAUUUGAAUCAUAAGCAUUACAACUCUUAUCAUGAUGAACAUUUCUAGAAAAUUUCCUAUCAUAAAUAAGUGCAUGAUGAGCACUAUUAGCCAUAGGGGCCUUUCCUUUCUCCUUGGUGGAGAUGGGAGCCUUAUGACUUGUUAAGUUCUUGGCUUCUCUCUUAAAGCCAAGCCCAUCCUUAAUUGAGGGGUGUCUACCAAUCGUGUAGUCAUCCCUUGCAAAUUUUAAUUUAUCGAAUUCAAUUUUUCUAGUCUUAAGUUGAGCAUUAAGACUAGUCACUUCAUUAUUUAAUUUAGAAAUGGCAACUAGGUGUUCACUACAAGCAUCAACAUUAAAAUCUUUACACCUAUUGCAAAUCACAACAUAUUCUACACAAGAGGUUGAUUUAUUAGUUAUUUCUAACUUAGCAUUCAAGUCAUCAUUUAUACUCUUUAAGCUAGACAUGGAUUCGUGGCAUGUAGACAAUUCACUUGAAAGCAUUUCAUUUCUUUUAACUUCUAAAGCAAGAGAAUUUUGAGCACUUACAAAUUUAUCAUGCUCUUCAUAUAAAAGAUCUUCUUGCUUUUAUAAGAGUCUAUUCUUCUCAUUCAAAGCAUCAAUCAAUUCAUUGAUUUUAUCAAUUUUAGUUCUAUCUAAUCCUUUGAAUAAACAUGCAUAGUCUAUUUCGUCAUCACUAGAUUCAUCAUCACUCGAAGAAGCAUACGUAGUACUAUUUCGAGUACUGACCUUCUUCUCCUUUGCCAUUAGGCAUGUGUGAUGCUCGUUGGGGAAGAGGGACGAUUUGUUGAAGGCAGAGGCGACGAGUCCUUCGUCGUCGGAGUCGGACGAUGAACAAUCCGAGUUCCACUCCUUGCCAAGGUGUGCCUCGCCCUUAGCCUUCUUGUAGGUCUUCUUCUUUUCCCUCUUCUUUUCUUGAUCCUGGUCACUAUCAUUAUCGGGGCAAUUAGCAAUAAAAUGACCAAUCUUACCACACUUGAAGCAGGAGCGCUUUCCCUUCGUCUUGCUCUUGUUGGGAUGCUCCUUGCGACCUUUGAGCGCUGUCUUGAAACGCUUGAUGAUGAGGGCCAUUUCUUCUUCGUUAAGCCUGGCCGCCUCAACUUGCGCCACCUUGCUAGGUAGCGCCUCCCUGCUCCUCGUUGCUUUGAGAGCAACGGUUUGAGGCUCGUGGAUUGGGCCAUUCAACGCAUCAUCAACGUAUCUUGCCUCCUUGAUCAUCAUCCGCCCGCUUACAAACUUUCCAAGUAUUUCCUCGGGCGUCAUCUUGGUGUACCUAGGAUUCUCAUGAAUAGAGUUAACAAGAUGAGGAUCAAGGACGGUGAAAGACCUUAGCAUAAGUCGGACGACGUCGUGGUCCGUCCAUCGCGUGCUUCCAUAGCUCCUUAUUUUGUUGACGAGGGUCUUGAGCCUAUUGUAUGUUUGGGUUGGCUCCUCCCCCCUGAUCAUCGCGAACCUUCCUAGUUCGCCUUCCACCAACUCCAUCUUGGUGAGCAUGGUGACGUCGUUCCCCUCAUGUGAGAUCUUGAGGGUGUCCCAAAUCUGCUUGGCAUUGUCCAAGCCGCUCACCUUAUUGUAUUCUUCCCUGCACAAGGAUGCUAGAAGAACAGUAGUAGCUUGUGCAUUCUUAUGGAUUUGUUCAUUGAUAAACAUAGAAUUAUCCGAACUAUCAAAUUUCAUUCCGUUUUCUACUAUCUCCCAUAUACUUGGAUGAAGAGAGAACAAAUGACUACGCAUUUUGUGACUCCAAAACCCGUAGUCCUCUCCAUCAAAGUGAUGAGGUUUACCAAGUGGAAUAGAAAGCAAAUGAGCAUUGGAAUUAUGCAGAAUACGAGAGUAAUCAAAAGAAAAGUUCAAGUUAACCAUUUUCUUUUUCUCCUCGUAUUCGUCGUCCUUUUGAGAAGAGGAGGAUUCGUCGUUGUCAUAGUAGACAACCUUCCUGAUGCGGCUCUUCUUCUUUCCAUCUUUCUUCUUUUGACUCGAGCCGGAGUCAUUGACUUUGUCGUCCCUUGGCUCGUUGAUGAUGGACUCCUCAUUGUCGUUGACCACCAUCCCCUUUCCCUUAGGAUCCAUCUCUUCAGGCGAUUAGUCCCUUUCUUGAAGAGAACGGCUCUAAUACCAAUUGAGAGCACCUAGAGGGGGGGUGAAUAGGUGAUCCUGUAAAAACUUCAAACUUACAGCCACAAACUUGAUUAAGUGUUUGAGCAAUAAAGCUAAGUGGCUAGAGAGGAGUUCUUGUAAAACACACCAACCACAAAGAGAUCAACACAGAGAGGCACAAUGAUUUAUCCCGUGGUUCGGCCAAGUUCAACACUUGCCUACUCCACGUUGUGGCAUCCCAACAGACGAGGGUUGCAAUCAACCCCUCCCAAGUGAUCCAAAGAUCCACUUGAAUACCACGGUGUUUCUUCCUUUCACUAUUUCCCGUUUGCGAGGAAUCUCCACAACUUGGAGUCUCUCGCCCUUACAAAAGAUUAUCACAAAUGAACACGGAAGUAAGGAUGGGAUGAGCAACACACACAAGUCCACAGCAAUACACACACACAGCCAAGACUUGAGCUCAAAUGAAUAUCUCAAAGUUCUCACUAGAACGGAGCUCAAAUCACUAAGAAUGUCAAACGAGUGCGCAAAGACGAAGUGUGAAUGAUCAAGAAUGCUCAAAGUGUGCUUAGUGUCAUCCUUCAUGCGCCUAGGGGUCCCUUUUAUAGCCCCAAGGCAGCUAGGAGCCGUUGAGAGCAUUCCAGGAAGGUAAUUCUUGCCUUCUGUCGAUUGGCGCACCGGACAGUCCGGUGCACCACCGGACACUGUCCGGUGUGGAUUUCUUUCCUAUUCUGGCGCAGCCGACCGUUGAAGGUUUGGAGCCGUUGGCGCACCGGACACUGUCCGGUGCACACCGGACAGUCCGGUGCCCCCUUCAGACCGUUGGCCCGGCCACGCGUCACGCGCGGAUUGCACGGCCGACCGUUGGCUCGACCGACCGUUGGCUCACCGGACAGUCCGGUGCACACCGGACAGUCCGGUGAAAUUUAGCCGUACACCGCCGACGAAAUCCCGAGAGCGGCCUUUUCACUAGAGCCAGCCUGGCGCACCGGACACUGUCUGGUGCACCACCGGACACUGUCCGGUGCACCCAGACUGAGCAGAGUCUUGGCUGCUCGAGCCAAGUCUUUUCCAAUUGUCUUUUCUCUGAUUCUAGCACUUAGACAAAUAUGUUAGUACACAAAAACCAAUGUAGUAAGUCUAGAAUCAUACCUUUGUAUUGAUUUGCACUUUGUCCACCCUUUGACAUAUACUCAUUCCCUUAAUGUGUGUUGGGCACUUAAUCACCAAAAUCUUAUAGAAAUGGCCCAAGGGCACAUUUCCCUUUCAACCAUCGUGAACCUUAUUCAGUUGGUCUGACCGAGCUAUUUUGAGGGCAAUUUGUGCCAAAUUUUGUGUAGUGACCAGACCACCACUCUGCAGCAAAGUUGUAGCCUAAUGAUCCAGCUACAAACUUACAAUAGCAACCAUAGCCAAACUCUCACAAGAUCAUGGUUGAAUCUCAGUGCAAAGAUUACUCAAUCACACUGUCAGUCUGAGUUCAGACUUAAGACAGUCUGACAGCUCGACUUUGGGCACACUUUUCUCAAAAUACUUCAUGGUACCAAGGCAUGAUCUCUAUAGCAAAGUUAUUCUCCUUCCAUAGGUCUAUAAACUUGAUGUGGUGACCUAGGGCAAAAACUUUAUAACUUGGAAGAUAUAGGGCUCCAAAGUUGAGCCAAAUGCACUGAAAUCAGACUUAACUCAAUAGGGUUCAAAUACGGCUUUUGCAAAUAGGCCCAAAACUUAGGGUUUAAGUUGCAAAUCCACACACAUGUGAAACCAUAUGAGUUAAGAUACCCUAAUCUCAUUAUUUUUGCACUUUAGUCCAAAAGUGCACUAAUUUUGCACUUAGCCCCCUAGGGUUUUAGUCUAGAGUUUUUUAGGGUUUUUUUUAGGGUUUUUGGUGCUCUUAGGGUUUGGAUAUCCCUUAAAUUCAUUAAUGGUGGUAUUUUAUGAUCAUUAUUAUCAAGUUUUGAAGUUUUCUCUUGUUUAGGCUUUGGUUACCCCUUUAAGUCCAAUUUAGGGUUAAACACUAUACCCUAGGGUUUCACUUAUGAAAUGUCACAUCAAUACAACUUGUUUGAACUUUUGCCUAGUGAAUGCAUUCUAGGUGUGACAAACAACAUGAUAUGUCAAUGCUUAUGAUGUUAUGCUCAAGUUUUAGUGGCAGUAACACCAGGGGUGUUACAUUUAAUAGAGCAAUUACUAUCGCUCGUGAACUGAAAAACACAAAGAAGGUUGAACAAGGUUAGGCACAUAAGGAAAAUGUUAAGACAAAAUUAGUUUCAUUUAUAGAAAAGAUAUAGUUGCCAUGACAAUAGUAAAAUGAAAAAAUUCUGAUGGCCUAAACCAUCAGACAUAACCCCCUACACCGUCGGACAUAAGUUAUGUCCAACGGUUUAGGACUUAUGUCCAACAACAAUGGUCUGUCGGUACUAAAAGGUCAAAAAUAAGGUGAUUUUCGAUGGCCUCCAAGGGUCGUCGACAGUUAAAGAUGUUGAAGGCCAUGACGGCGUCUAGUGGGCCCCAUAACCUUAUGCCCGAUGACCUGCAUCUCUUCCAUCCUAUCGUAGUGCCCCCUCUUCAUAUGAACUUAUGAUACAAUACAAGCAUGUGGGUCCUCACCAUGGUGCACCCACACCUCAUAGCCAGGCAUAUAGUCGUUAUUAAAAAGGCCUAUUGACAUAGUCCUCCUGUCAUGGAAAUAAAUGUUGUGACACUUGCAACAAGGGAACCAAACGUCAGUUCUGGUCUCCGACCUAGCAAAAGCACGGUCGAGAAAAGCGUUGGUCUUGGCAACUGUAGCAUCCCAAAAAUUCAAAUCCUGAAAUUUUCUUAAACUUGCUCUAAAUUCAAAAUGAAUUUCAAAUUUCAUUUCAAAAUGUUUGUUUGCGAGUUGAUAUCAGCAAAUGAAAUAUAGUGGUCUAUAUUCUCUCCAAAAUCCUCCUCAAAAUAUCCUACAAAUAUUUCCCCAGUGACCCCCUAUAUUCUUUCCAGAAAUACUAUCCAGAUAUUUCCCCAGUGAUCCCCUUCAAGUUCUUUCCAGAAAUAUUGCCCAGAUUUUCCACCGAUAUUUCUCCAAAUAUUUUCCUCCUAAAAAAUACCUUCAGAAUCAUUUUUCAAGUCCCUACAAAUAUUUUCUUCAUAACUUUCCUCAUGCUCAUACGUAUACGUAUGCCUCCGGUGUCAUACGGUGAGCUCUACAAGCUAAUUACACUCAUAUAAGACAAAUUCAUGCUAAUCUCCCACUAAUCCUCUCAUCCUCCCACUAAUCCUCUCAUCCCUCCCCCGAAUCCCCCACCAUGGCUAUAAAUAGAGGGGCAAGGGCCUCCUCUCAUCCCACCCCAAGCCAUUUCAUGGCAACUCUCUCCCCCCCACACACACCCACUCCAUGUUCCACACAAGCACACACUAGCACAAGGAUCGUUCGGUCAUUCUUCGAUCGUUUGUCCCCCUGUUCUUAGUUUGUUCGUUCGUUCGUCCGAUCGUUCAUGGUUCGUCGUCCGUUCGUCCGAUCAUUCGAUCGUUCGUCCGUUCGUUCGUCCAAAUAAUCUUUUUCCUGCCGUUAUGCUGCCGAAAUUCCGAUCGUUCGUUUGUUCGAUCAUUUGAUCGUUCAUCGUUCGUUCAUAGUUCCUAUUCAUCGUUCAUCGUUCGUUCAUAGUCCCUAUUCAUCGUUCUUCCAGAUAAUCUUUGUCCUACCGUUAUGCUGCCGAAAUUCCGAUCGUUCGUUCGUCCGAUCAUUCGAUCGUUCGUCCGUUCGUUCGUCCAAAUAAUCUUUUUCAUACCGUUAUGCUGCCGAAAUUCCGAUCGUUCGUUUGUUCGAUCAUUCGAUCGUUCAUCGUUCGUUCAUAGUUCCUAUUCAUCGUUCAUCAUUCGUUCAUAGUCCCUAUUCAUCGUUCUUCCACAAUCUUUGUCCUGCCGUUAUGCUGCCGAAAUUCCGAUUGUUCGUUCGUCCGAUCAUUCGAUCGUUUGUCCGUUCGUUCAUAGUCCUUUUCAUCGUUCAUCGUUCGUUCAUCAUCACUAUUCAUCGUUCGUUCAUACGACUAUUCACCAUUACUAUUCAUCGUUACUAUUCACAGUUACUAAUCUUCAUCGUCACUAUUUAUCGUUACUAUUCAUCGAUGAUAUCUAUGGCAACCUUUGCGUCGUUACUAUUCAUCAUUACUAUUCAUCGAUCAUCCGAUCACCCCAAAUUUAAACUACUCAUCCGUCAUGCUGUCCAGUCCACCUAAGACCAGCCAGACCAAUAUUUCAGUCAUACGAACUCCGGUGACUGUGAUUUUCCUUCCAGUGGGAACUUCCCAUCUGGCACCCAUUCCAGGUUUCUCCAAGUUGAGCACGCUUAACUUUGAGAUUCCUUCGAACUAGGCUCCCAAACUCCGAUUCCAAUAAUUCUUGUUUCUAACUUCUUAUCAAAUUAUUCCCUAUCCAACCAUGUCAUCACUUAAGCAUGGUUCAUAUUCCAGAAAACUCCCAAAAUACUCUUGUCCCAUAUUCUGCCUAUAACUCUCAUGUUCAUACUAAGUCAGACGAUUCAUUCGUCACUAUUCUCACCAACAGUGAACUUCACUAUGCUACACCACAUACACUCAGCUAUAAAUACACCCAGCUACCAUCUCCCUCUCCACACACACUCAACACCCUCAGCCAAGGCAAACACCCCACCCACUCAGUUACUCCGCUCUGCCAGCUACAUGCAUAGUGUCGCUUCGCCUCCAGUCCACCCUCCUGGUAAGCACCUCCGCUCCACCACCAGUAAUAUCACAACACCACAUGACACAGAUUCUACUCAAGACUCUACCCAUCCAUAUAUCACUAUUCUGACCACUAUACUAAAUAUUUGUUGGUAUACUUGUUGGUUUGUAUGUUUGCUUAUUCAUGUUGCAUAGUUAUUGGAGCGUUCAUGCCGUCUCGUGGAGGCCAGAUCUGCAAGUCUACGCCAGGCGGUGGAGCUAGAAGCUAGUUCCGCGAGCUCUCCUUCCCCCUUCGCCGGAUAAGCACGGCAAGCUCACUGGAUCCCUUUGAUGCAUAAAUUACCUAUGAUUUUUCAACCACAACCCUCAGCCUAUUAUUUUAUGCAUGAUAUGAUUUUGAGACAAGUUAUUAUGGCCACCCAGCCGCAUGCCGCAAUCAAUCCUUGAUAUAUUUGUUCCAAAUGAUUUGAGAAAAGGUGUGAGGUUUCAAAAGAAAAUGCUUUUCAAAAUGUGUAUGAUGAAGGGUUUUCACCCUUAUCACCUUUGAGUAGGGAUGAUCAGGGACUCCCUGGUUUAGGGGAGGGCCUAAGAUGAUGGCUCAGCAGGUUUAGGCAUGAGCAGAAGGAUUGUCCCCUCGUAUAAGGACCGGUUUGUCAUCCUUCACUACCUAUACUCAUGAUAAGUACAACCACUCGAGACUGUGUGGGCAGUCACUCAACCUGAACUCGUACGGUCCAACCCCAGGGUUAUGAAGGCUGGGGAGCACCGGGAGGAUAAGGAGGGGGAAUGUUUUGUCCGGUUUGGACAUGGCGGUGGCCUGACUCCUUCCGGCAUAACCGUUAAGGUAGGGACGUGCAAGGAAAGAAAGAGAUUCGGUGUUGGAUCUCAUGGCAGUGAGAUCGUAGAGCCGGACUAGUGGGUAAAGUGUACACCUCUGCACAGAGUUUGAAAACCUAUUCGAAUAAUCUUUGUCCACAGGAAUGGACGAGUCUGGUGUGGUAUGGCAAUUAGUGUUUUGUUUUCAAAAAAAGGGUGCGUUUGAGAAAAGUGGUUUUUAAAAGGUCCGGCGGUUGAGCCGUGAGCUAUGGUGGACGGGAAGUCCAGUAGCUGUUUUUGAAAAUGAAAACUAGUGGGAAACUGCUGAGAUACCUGGAUGGUUUAGUCUAGGGGAUUUUGUUCUAAUAUUGAAAAACUUCCCGCUCCUUUGGGAGAGGAUGCGCUUUGAAAAAUACAAAAUGUUUUACAAAACAACCCUACAUAAAAUAUUGUUGUUUCUGCAAAAUAUCCUGAGCUCCACAUAUUCCAUGCAUUAUAUUUGAUUUUCCCAUUCUACGGGUGAAGGUGGGCUACUGAGUACGUUUGUACUCACCCUUGCUUAUUUGUUGUUUUUCAGAAAAAAGGAGAUCGGGUAAGAGUUACGACUGUUCUCAACCUUGCAUGUGGCUGUUGGACCGCUGAUUUGCUUCGCUACGUAUAUCUGGCUGCUUCAGCCCCACUCUAAUGAUAUGUCUCGAGUUGUGGACCAACUCUUAAAGUUGAUCGCCACCUUUAUAGGUUUGUCUCGUUAAGCAGAUCUGGAAUCAUCUGAUGUAUAAAUGUGUUUACUAGCCUCCUGGGACUAGUAAUUGUAUCACAUUUGAGUCCUAGAGGAUCGGGACGCUUCGGUUGGUAUCAAUGCUGUUAGGUUGGCCGCAGGACGUAACCCUUAGCCUGAUCCAAAAGUUUUUGAGUCAAAACUAUUUUCAAAAAAAAUCUUGCUCUCAUCCCUUCAUUUCAAAAAUGUUUUCCCCUUUCCUUCUCUCAGAAGUCAGAUGGAGGUUCGCUGCCAAACCAGCUUUUGCCAGAAUGAAGAUGGUUUCCCCAAGUUGUUGAGAGCAUGCACAGUCCGCCUCGGAAUCAGGAGCCAACCAGAGUAUGAUGGUCGUGAAUUCGUCGAGCAUGGCACAGAGAAGUGUGUCGUGACGGUAUACAUUGGAUCCAGUCCGCACCAUGUGGAAUGGAGUGUCACUGCUGCUGGGCACAGAUUCAAAGACACCUGCCAAGUCGUCGCCCGCAAGGCAUUGAGGGCCUUGUGUCAGAUUUAUGAAGAAGAAGUGGCCGACACCCCGCUCAGAUUCUUUCCGCCCUUUCAAAGAGAUCGUCCAGUUUGGAUGGCUAGGAUGCGUGCAUUUGAAGGGCAGCAGUUGCUUGAGGACGACCCCACAGUCACGUACCUCACUGCAUACCUGCUCACCUUGGAUGCACAGUAUGAUUUCUUGGCUCGACACCACCGUCAGAUGAUUGCCCGAGCAGAAGAUGCAGAGAAGCUCAACCGUAAGCUCCAUGUGGAUCUCACCACAGCUCAAGCCCGUGCAGCUGCCUUGGAAAGUCGUGAAGUCAUUACUGUUGAAGCCCUGAAGCAAGCCAAGGAUGAGCACGUCCAGAAGUUGAUGCAGGCCUACUUGGUAACCCAUAACCAACGUACAGCCCUGCGGAUCUAAGAGCCCGCUUCAUCCAACCCUGUUCAACCCAUCAGAGCUGAAGACCCCCAGAUUCUUGAAGGUCACUCGGUAUCUAUCAGAGGAGAGAAGAAGGCUUGGGAACUCCCGGAAGGAGCCAUAGUCUUGGAAGGAAUUCAAUUCUUCCCUCAGGCUAUGCAUAAGCAAGAGCACCCUAAAGCCUCCCAAGCUCCCCCGCCGGAGUUGUUUGAGCCCCUUACCAUGAAGAAGAUUCCAGCACCAUCCCUUGAAGUCAAGGAAGAAGCUGCAAGCACCCCGCCAGCACCGUCGCCCUCUGAGGAGCUACAAGAGCCAGUCCCACUUGAAGAAGAGUUUGACCCCGUCCUGCCAUCUCAGUCGCUGCCAGAAGAAGUCAUCAACAUCAGCUCCCUCUUGACCCAUCCAAGAGAUGUCUCAGAUUGAAGGUUGCUAGCCUCGCCAGAAGAGAAGCUGCCUGGUCUAAAGUUAGUUAUGCCCAGUCCUCUGCAUGCAUUGGGUAGUGAAGUUUUUCUUCACUUUGGCUAGAGCCCUGCAUGUAUGAGAGGUAAUCGUGUAGACUCGUGUUUUGCAAAACUCUAAUUGUGUGGCCCCCUAGGGCAUUUCAAAAUGAAUUUCGCUUGAUGUUUUCUCCCCUUUUGAGUGCAUAUGUGAUGCUUUAACGUUAGUGCUCAUAAGUUGCAUUUAGCAUAGUUCUAAAUUCAGGAGCCAAGCAAUAGUAGUUAUGCUUAGCCCCCGAAUCGGAGUAGUCCGUGCUUUGGAAAAACUCUAUUCUUCCCCUAUUCAAAACAUUUGAUUUGUUUGUGCUUAUCAUUGCUGAGCUUGUGUGUUUUCUUUCCAUUUGUCUUAAAAAAAGAGGUUUUCUCUAAAAACAUAGAUCACAAAUUAGAGCUAAUACUCAUCUUAUGCUUCCAUUCUCCCCUUACCCCAUCUUAAGAGAAAAGAACCUUACCCAAGAAGAUACCGGGAAGCUUACCCUUGAAGCCUGCAAUAAGCUACAAAAGCAACCAGUCCAGCCGCUCAGUCAAAAGGACCGACCGUGAGAAUCAAAGCACUGCCCCUGAGUCAAAGGAAACAGGAAAAUAGGAUAGAAGGAGUUAUUACCUUACAGAGAGGCAAAGAUUCUUGGAACCAGAGACCACAAACAUCAGAGUCAUUGACCCCACCACUCACCCGUGCCCCCUGCACGCGUGCCCGCCUCCAUGCGCACCACCACUGCCCCACUUCCCCUUUGUAGCACACCCAUUGCCGCCAUUACCGCCAGCAACACCAUCCUCCCCUCCAUCGCCCAUGCUGCCUUGUGUCACCUGCUCCAUCACCGGCACUCCGCACCCGAGCACCCCCACUCGCUUAUAAAUUCCCCACACCAGCUCCCUCAACUCCCAUCUCGCUCAAAGCAAAGCACACUCCAGAUAAAUCCCCUCUACCAAAUCGCAAGCAACUCCAUUUUCCACUCCCUCGCCUCUAAGAUCACAAUGCUUGGUGAUUCUUGGGUUGAAGACUGUUGUACAUGGUUCAUAGUCUUUGGUUUCCUCCAAUGUAUGAUGGUAAUACUCUUUGAUAGAAUCCUCCAGUGGGAAGAGCAAAGAGAAAGAAAGGGUCAGUGAAAAGAAGAUAGCAAAGAGAAGAUAAAAGAAGGUUCUCCCAGAAUCAACCCUGUGUCAGUCUUUUCUCCGCAGCCUGCUCAAGCAGCAACAGCAGAAGAAGGCCCCAUAACACCCUUGUUAUGAGGUACUUCAAGGAGUUCAAAACUCCAAGAUUCAAGAGUCCUACCCUCAUUCUUUUUAAGUGGGGUAGUGUUCCAGUAAAGUUCCUGCUAUAGAGAAAAAGAAGAAGGCCUGUAGCAAGCUUGUGGAGGACCAGAUCAUCGAAGCAUAUACGUUUCUGGAUGAGAGGUGGUCACCCAAGUUUCGUUGAUGAAGCACUAGAAGACCAAUCAAGGAAGGAAUCCAUGAGGGAGUUCGCAAGAGAAAGGUUUGUGUGUUGGCAUCGAUGCUUCCUCAAUAAGCUAGCUGCCAAGCGAAAGCUGAAGCCUGAAGAUGAUCUUUGAGUAGCCAGAAUCAGCGUUUGCAAUCGGCAACCAGAUGCUCCUCAAAGGCCAGAUUUUGUUGAAGUUCCAUCUCCUCGAAGAGUCUGCAAAGUGAAGAUAUGUAGCUGAAGUAAAGCUAUACCCAUAACCCUUAUAAGCCGAAUCUCGAGGACGAGAUUCCUUUUAAGUGGGGUAGAUUUGUAGCAUCCCAAAAAUUCAAAUCCUGAAAUUUUCUUAAACUUGCUCUAAAUUCAAAAUGAAUUUCAAAUUUCAUUUCAAAAUGUUUGUUUGCGAGUUGAUAUCAGCAAAUGAAAUAUAGUGGUCUAUAUUCUCUCCAAAAUCCUCCUCAAAAUAUCCUACAAAUAUUUCCCCAGUGACCCCCCUCAAAUUCUUUCCAGAAAUACUAUCCAGAUAUUUCCCCAGUGAUCCCCUUCAAGUUCUUUCCAGAAAUAUUGCCCAGAUAUUCCACCGAUAAUUCUCCAAAUAUUUUCCUCCUGAGAAAUACCUUCAGAAUCAUUUUUCAAGUCCCUACAAAUAUUUUCUUCAUAACUUUCCUCAUGCUCAUACGUAUACGUAUGCCUCCAGUGUCAUACGAUGAGCUCUACAAGCUAAUUACACUCAUAUAAGACAAAUUCAUGCUAAUCUCCCACUAAUCCUCUCAUCCCUCCCCCUAAUCCCCCACCAUGGCUAUAAAUAGAGGGGCAAGGGCCUCCUCUCAUCCCACCCCAAGCCAUUUCAUGGCAACUCUCUCCCCCCCACAAACACACCCACUCCAUGUUCCACACAAGCACACACUAGCACAAGGAUCGUUCGGUCGUUCUUCGAUCGUUUGUCCCCCUGUUCUUAGUUUGUUCGUUCGUUCGUCCGAUCGUUCAUGGUUCGUUCGUCCGUUCGUUCGAUCGUUCGUCCGUUCAUUCGUCCAAAUAAUCUUUUUCCUGCCGUUAUGCUGCCGAAAUUCCGAUCGUUCGUUUGUUCGAUCAUUUGAUCGUUCAUCGUUCAUUCAUAGUUCCUAUUCAUCGUUCAUCGUUCGUUCAUAGUCCCUAUUCAUCGUUCUUCCAGAUAAUCUUUGUCCUACCAUUAUGCUGCCGAAAUUCCGAUCGUUCGUUUGUCCGAUCAUUCGAUCGUUCGUCUGUUCGUUCGUCCAAAUAAUCUUUUUCAUGCCGUUAUGCUGCCGAAAUUCCGAUCGUUCGUUCGUUCGAUCAUUCGAUCGUUCAUCGUUCGUUCAUAGUUCCUAUUCAUCGUUCAUCAUUCGUUCAUAGUCCCUAUUCAUCGUUCUUCCAGAUAAUCUUUGUCCUGUCGUUAUGCUGCCGAAAUUCCGAUUGUUCAUUCGUCCGAUCAUUCGAUCGUUCGUCCGUUCGUUCAUAGUCCCUAUUCAUCGUUCAUCGUUCGUUCAUCAUCACUAUUCAUCAUUCAUCGUUCGUUCAUACGGACUAUUCACCAUUACUAUUCAUCGUUACUAUUCACCGUUACUAAUCAUCAUCAUCACUAUUUAUCGUUACUAUUCAUUGAUGAUAUCUAUGGCAACCUUUUCGUCGUUACUAUUCAUCAUUACUAUUCAUCGAUCACCCGAUCACCCCAAAUUUUAACUACUCAUCCGUCAUGUUGUCCAGUCCACCUAAGACCAGCCAGACCAAUAUUUCAGUCAUACGAACUCCGGUGACUGUGAUUUUCCUUCCAGUGGGAACUUCCCAUCUACCACCCAUCCCAGGUUUCUCCAAGUUGAGCACACUUAACUUUGAGAUUCCUUCGAACUAGGCUUCCAAACCCCGAUUCCAAUAAUUCUUGUUUCUAAAUUCUUAUCAAAUUAUUCCCUAUCCAACCAUGUCAUCCCUUAAGCAUGGUUCAUAUUCCAGAAAACUCCCAAAAUACUCUUGUCCCAUAUUCUGCCUAUAACUCUCCUGUUCAUACUAAGUCAGACGAUUCAUUCGUCACUAUUCUCACCAACAGUGAACUUCACUGUGCUACACCACAUACACUCAGCUAUAAAUACACCCAGCUACCCUCUCCCUCUCCACACACACUCAACACCCUCAGCCAAGGCAAACACCCCACCCACUCAGUUACUCCCCUCUGCCAGCUACAUGCAUAGUGUCGCUUCGCCUCCAGUCCACCCUCCUGGUAAGCACCUCUGCUCCACCACCAGUAAUAUCACAACACCACAUGACACAGAUUCUACUCAAGACUCUACCCAUCCAUAUAUCGCUAUUCUGACCACUAUACUAAAUAUUUGUUGGUAUACUUGCUGGUUUGUAUGUUUGUUUAUUCAUGUUGCAUAGUUAUCGGAGCGUUCGUGCCGUCUCGUGGAGGCUAGAUCUGCAAGUCUACGCCAGGCGGUGGAGCCAGAAGCUAGUUCCGUGAGCUCUCCUUCCCCCUUUGCCGGAUAAGCACAGCAAGCUCACUGGAUCUCUUUGAUGCAUAAAUUACCUAUGAUUUUUCAACCACAACCCUCAGCCUGUUAUUUUAUGCAUGAUAUGAUUUUGAGACAAGUUAUUAUGGCCACCCAGCCGCUUGCCGCAGUCAAUCCUUGAUAUAUUUGUUCCAAAUGAUUUGAGAAAAGGUGUGAGUUUUCAAAAGAAAAUGCUUUUCAAAAUGUGUAUAAUGAAGGGUUUUCACCCUUAUCACCUUUGAGUAGGGAUGAUCAGGGACUCCAUGGUUUAGGGGAGGGCCUAAGGUGAUGGCUCAGCUAGUUUAGGCGUGAGCAGAAGGAUUGUCCCCUCGUAUAAGGACCGGUUUGUCAUCCUUCACUACCUGCACUCAUGAUAAGUACAACCACUCGAGACUGUGUGGGCAGUCACUCAAUCUGAACUCGUACGGUCCAACCCCAGGGUUAUGAAGGCCGGGGAGCACCGAGAGGAUAAGGAGGGGGAAUGUUUUGUCCGGUUUGGACAUGGCGGUGGCCUGACUCCUUCCGGUAUAACCGUUAAGGUAGGGACGUGCGAGGAAAGAAAGAGAUUCGGUGUUGGAUCUCAUGGCAGUGAGAUCGCAGAGCCGGACUAGUGGGUAAAGUGUACACAUCUGCGCAGAGUUUGAAAACCUAUUCGAAUAAUUUGUGUCCACAGGAAUGGACGAGUCUGGUAUGGUAUGGCAAUUAGUGUUUUGUUUUCAAAAAAAGGGUGCGUUUGAGAAAAGUGGUUUUUAAAAGGUCCGGCGGUUGAGCCGUGAGCUAUGGUGGACGGGAAGUCCAAUAGCUGUUUUUGAAAAUGAAAACCAGUGGGAAACUACUGAGAUACCUGGAUGGUUUAGUCCAAGGGAUUUUGUUCUAAUAUUGAAAAAGUUCCUGCUCCUUUGGGAGAGGAUGCGCUUUGAAAAAUACAAAAUGUUUUACAAAACAACCCUGCAUAAAAUAUUGCUGUUUCUGCAAAAUAUCCUGAGCUCCACAUAUUCCAUGCAUUAUAUUUGAUUUCCCCAUUCUGCGGGUGAAGGUGGGCUGUUGAGUACGUUUGUACUCACCCUUGCUUAUUUGUUGUUUUUCAGAAAAAGGAGAUCGGGUAAGAGUUACGACUGUUCCCAACAUUGCCUAUGGCUGUUGGACCGCUGAUUUGCUUCGCUGCGUAUAUCGGGCUGCUUCAGCCCCACUCUGAUGAUAUGUCCCGAGUUGUGGACCAACUCUUAAAGUUGAUCGCCACCUUUAUAGGUUUGUCUCGUUUAAGCAGAUCUAGAAUCAUCUGAUGUAUAAAUGUGUUUACUAGCCUCCUGGGACUAGUAAUUGUAUCACAUUUGAGUCCCAAAGGACCGGGACGCUUCAGCAACCCACUCACUUGAUAGCACCCCUCUCUUCUUCCAACCUUCAUACAUCCAUCGACGAUCCUCUGCCAUACUAGAUACGAAACAUUAACUUAGUUUAGUAAUACACAAAUAGUCGAUUAUUACAAAGAAAUCACUCCCCUUCAUAUAUAGGAAAAUAUAAGUCCUAAAUUCAACUAGGAGUGACGAACAAAGCUCAUAUUUAUGACAAGGCAUGAGCUCGAGCGAAAUUUUGGUAGCAUAACUCCGAUGUUCUCCAUUUACAUGCCUGAAAACAGAGAACAAAGAGGUUAUGUUGCUGAAAUUACGCAUGAGCACAUGUCUUGUUAUAAAUAUGAGCUCUGUCGGUCACUCUAAGGCGGUCAAAUAAAGGGACAAUUCUUCCCCAACAUACAUCACAUGCAUCGCAUGUGAGGUGUGCUGGACCGAAACGGGUGGUGCAUAGGUUCCGUUCCAUUUGUUAACUCUAUGAUACACACAUUUACGCUACAUUCAUGGAUCGAUAUUAUAUAAUUCAACUAAUAAAACACUAAUACAAUGUUUUAUAGUACAUAACAUUCUUUUGGGUGAAAAUAAUAUUAAAUGACCUAAGUUCCAAAGGUUUAAUAAUUACCCUUAGAAAUUACAUAUUAAGUUAUUUAAGCACCCCUAAAUGAACUAAAACAAUCUAAAUAAACUACAUAAUCACCAUUACGGUCGUCAUAUAUAUAACACACAUAUUUCAUACAAACAAAUAAUCAAUCAAUGCAUGUAAUUAUAAAACAAAUGGUCUUACUUCGGUAGGUAGGACGAUGAUGUGGAAGGUGGGGAGGCGCUCCGGAAGUCGUGCGAUGGACGAGGCAACGCUGCGGGAGGUGGGCGGUGCUUCGGGAGGCGUGUGGUGGGUGGAGGCGCCUCGACGGAUGUCGCUACAAGCGGAGGUGGCUUCGGCUCCAACGGAUGGAACUUUGGGAGGCGUAUGGUGGGUGGCGGUGCCCCAGUGGAUGGCGCUACGGGUGGCGGCGGCUUCAGCUCUGGCAGACGGAUGAGUUCCUAGCAGGCGGCAUGGCACCGAUGAACGAGUGUGUGCGCAACUUCAAGAUGGCGGCGACUAGUGAGUGGGACUCCAAAAAGAUGGUCUCUACUCAAUGUCUUCUAUGGUGGUGUGAAAGAAUUUGGAUGAGGGUGGCGGAGACAGAAAGAGAUGGAAAGUUGAGGGUUAAUAUACGACGACAACAUUGUGGAGGAAGUCGUGAUUGGUUACACAUGCAAGCAAGAGAUAAGUCUUAUCCACUAGUAGAAAAGAGCUCAAAACUUGCGGUGGGAUUUAAUUUUUACAGACGGAUUUGGUUAUCAAGCGUUAGUGCUAUUUCUAUUAACAGUUCCUUAAGAAAUCCUCCACUGGAAAUCAUAUUUCUACAUACGGUUCUUUAAGAAAACCACAUGUGGAAAUCUAUGAUUUCUAGUGACAGUUUUCUUAAGAAACCGCCACUAGAAAUUAUUUUUAUCCUUAAUUUUCUGAGUUUUUCAAACAACCUUGGAUGAUAAAACCACCAACAUAAAAGUUGUAGAUCUUGAAAAGUUAUGAAACCAUGUAGUUGACAACUUUUUAAAUUGAAAUCAUCUCAGCUCUCAAAAAUUGCAUUUGAAAUUGUCAAAUUCAAAAUGAAAAUUUUGCAAACAACCUUGGAUGGAAAAAAUAACAAAAUAAAAGUUGUAGAACUUCAAAAGUUAUGAAACUUUGUAGUUGACAACGUUUUCGUUUGAAUUCUUUUACUGCCUCAAAUAGUCAAUUUAUACUCAGAAUGUUCUAAUAUGUGGCCAACAAAACUGCAAUAUAGACACAAGGCACGUUAUAGGUGGAGUGGUAGAGGAUAUUUUAUGUUUCCUGAAAAAGAUUUUCACUAGUGGUUUUAUUACCUCGACUGCGAGUGAAAAUCGAUUUUCACUAGCGGUUUUCUUAGCCCGACCGCUAGUGGAAAUCGAUUUCCACUGGCGGUUCUCAGUUACCCGUCUGUACAAAUAAUUUUAAAGAAACUAGUAUAAUGUUCGUGUGUAGCGACAACACACAAUCAUAUUUGAUAACUGUUGUUCCUUGUUCUCGAAUGCUAUACACCAAGAACAAAGCAACACAAUUGUUUUAUGAUUAAAGAUCUUCGUCCUCCGAAGCAUUAUUUCCUUUUGUAUAUAAUGAUCUUCAGACGAAGGUCAUGAAGGACGUACCUUCAUCAUCUUGAUAAGUAAAUAAAUAUAAAUGAAGAAACACGAAAUGAAAUAUAGAAGAAGAAUGUAAAUAAUGACCAUAUAUCAAUAAAUUAUUUACAUUCUUAUUUUAUUUCAUAAACAUGAAUAGAUGUUCACAAUAUUUAUAUUUCAUUGAUACCUUCGGCUUGACAUAAGGUGAGAAAGUGAGUGACGCGGGAGCAAUUACAAUGCAGCGUGAUAGCAUUUGAUGUGCCAUCUCAACCGCUUGCGCUAUUUUUUCAAGCUUGGAUUUCUUUGCUCUGCCAAAUUUUGAUUGAUUUGUGAGCUUCGGCAUUUGCACAAGUGCUUACUAGAUGGCUGAAGAGAAGAAGGUUGUUGACCCUACACUAGCUGGGUUUUACGAGGCUAUGGAGAAGACGAAUACAGAGAAGAUUACCAAUGAAAUGCUAGUUGGGUUGUCUGAAGAUUCUUCUGGCGAUAGCAAAAUCUUUGAUUUGGAAAGUGGAACAAAGAUGCCAAAGAUCGGCCCUGGCGGCCGAGUCAUACCAUCUUCAGAAUGUCAUUCAUCAAGCAGAGUAAGAUUGAUGCUAUGAAAGGAAGAUAUUUUCGUGAUAUUUUCAUUGUGAGAGCUGGAGGGGACAGCGCCGCUCCUGUGCCCGAAGUAGACGAAGUUGUUGUUUACAGGAGCUUCAUGAAGGCAGGGCUUCGGUUUCCGUUAAGUAAAUUUCUAGUUGAAGUGCUAAAGACCUUUGAGAUUUUUCUUCAUCAGAUUACCCUUGAAGCCAUCAUCAGGAUGGGCAUUUUAUUUGGGCUGUGAGAAGCCAAGGACUGGAGCCGAGUGCAAAAUGCUUCUGCUAUAUGCAUGAGCUGUCUUACGAAACGAAGGCUACUGGGAAGGAACAUUAUCACAAUAAUUUUGGUUGUUACAGCUUCGUGCCUCGCUCUGAUGUGAGCUAUCCAGUUACGACGUUUUGGAAGAGGUGGUCAGGAGCCAGGAUGGAAGAAUGGUUUUAUGUAAAGAAUAACUUAGUUGAAAGGAAAGAUAUAAAAGGGAUUAUCCAACGCCUUAUUUGGUCCCGCUUCGGCAUCAGAAGGCCAGCCACUGCUCUUGGAAACGAUAUCGAAGCAUGCCAGAAGGCUUUUAACAGUGUAUGCACUUUUAUUGGCUUAAGAGACAUAGUCUAGGAGCACAUUGCUUAUAGAGUGUGGCCUCUUGUGAAUGACUGGGAAGUGCCGAAGGAAACUGCUGCCGGGUCCAGUCAAGGCGGCUUGGUUUAUUUGAAAUAUACCUUCAGAUAUAGAGAUGAGUUUGAUGAGCCAAAUGAUGACUAGUUGAACUGUGUUGAGGCAACUAGUGACGAGUUGCUUGGGGCCUACACAAGGGCCGAAGAUGAUGUCAUGUCCUUAGCCUUCGGAGGACGAGGCAAGAAAAGGUUAAACAGAGUUUUCGAUGUUAUUGGUUUUGUCUACCCAGAUUAUUGCUAUCCCUCACGAAAGCAGGGAAAAAAGAGAAAAGCUGCUACUUCAGCCAUCUCUGCUGCACCGAAGUGUAAAAGAUUAAGGUUUUGACGCACCGGCCUAGAUACAUUGAAACGGCCAGGGUGUCGAAGCUUGCUGAGGGGACGUCUUCCACCACUGAGCCAACGCACCUCGCUCCUGUCAGUACCAAGGGAGAAUCGGCUAAAUCGGAGAAAGCCGAGUCGGUCGGAGCGCCGAAGCGUCCUGCCGAAGCCAAAGAAAAAGCGGCUGAAGAGCCAAAGCUAGAGGAGUUGGCAGGAUUGCUAAAAAUCCUGAUCCCGCCACCAGAGCUGGAGUUGCUGAAGGUGUCCAAAGCUCCUGCAAUAACUCCCAAGAGGAGGAGGAUGGCUAGCGUGCUGGACGCUGUCCUAGAGUCGACAAGGGCAUCAACUCCUGCUCCUGCAAAGGAAGCUGCCAAAGCUACCUCAACUCGUGCCGAAGUCAAAGCUAGGCCUUCAGUGCCCAUUGAAACAUGGCAUGUUGAAACGAGACAGAGUAUUGAAGAAGGACCUUCGGGUGCCGCUCUGGUCUUCGAAAAAGAAGACACACCCAAGAAGAUUGAACCUCCUACUCCCAAAGCGUCUACUGAAGAACUGGACUUUAUCAUUCGACACGCUUCGGGUAAAAAAUUGUCGGAAGAGGAAAUUGCCGAAGCUAAACACUAUGCCCGAGAACUGAAAUACCCGAAAGGAUCCUUGGUGUAUAAUGGCACUGAUGAAGAUGACUUUCUGUACUGCCUCCCAGACAACAAGGAAAUAUCUGUUUGCCGGGAGAUGGCUAGAAAUAUAGGGUUUCCGAAGCUUGAAGUUGGUCUCUCUGCUAUGUCAAAGGAUGACCUCGCAGAUAGACUCGCUUACAAUAGUCUGAAGGUAAAGAUGUUUUUGACAUAAUCAGAUUAUUUUUUGUAUCUUUUACCGUUGUGCUGAUCCCCCCCUUUUUGUAUGGCUUAAUCUUGAGCAAUGCCUUAAGGGCACAAAAGAGUGCUGAGGACAAAAGCAGCCAGAUAGCCCUUGGAAAUCUUCGAUCAGAGGUUAUCAGACUGAGGAAUGAAGCUGUAGAAAAGGAUAAAAUUCUGCAUUCUUUGAUAGACAGAGUAAGGGUUAGCGAAGCUAAUCUUGCUGCAUAGUCUGAAGCUUAUAGAGCCGAAAUUGAAAACUUAAAGAAGAAGCUUGCAGAAAAGAAUGAAGAUUUUGAAGUGCCUAAGGCAAAACAAGAAAUAAGUGAAUGGACUAGCACAACACUGCAAAAGAAUGUAGAUGAGCUUCGGGAAUCGAAGAAGAGAUAUUACAAAAAAACCUUGGAUUGUGCUAAGAAGUUAAAAGAUAGUUUUGCAAAGGUGGGUGCAUACUCAUCUAAGUAAAAAAUUAUUAGAGGCGAUCCCGAAGGAAUCAUCGAAUGCAUCGGCAAAGAAGCUGAAGCCUUUGAUGAGAUACUUAGCGACCGUGGCGAUUUCUGCGCCUUCGCCGGUGCCAGAGGGGUUGCAGAAAUUUUAGAAAAAACUGGCUUGUGAACAUGUUAAAGCUGCAACACAGACGGAGACCAUCUUCACUGUAGACAACACGAAGGAUCCUUUGGCUGAGGCUACUCUAAUGGGCGGAAAAUUCUAUUCCAACGUUUGGAUGAAGGACAGCCGAGAGAUAGCCAACGAAGCUAUAAAGAAGAACGAAAAAGAAUCCCAUGAAGCCCGAGAAGAAGCCAAACGAGCCGAAGAGGCUGCUGAGCGCGCAAGGCACAUAGGUAUUUUAAUUGUUUCAUAGCUUCGAUAUUUUUUCUGGCUUCAGAUUAACAGCUUGUUACUUUUACUAUAGCUGAAAUUUCACCACCACCCGAGCCCUAUGAUUCCGAAGCCGAUCCAGCCAUGAAAGCGGCACUAGAAACCAUAAGAAUUGCCGAAUAAGAUAUUGACGAAGCUGUCAACAAACUUCUGAACGAAGCUGCAGAGAAAAUCUUAAAGGAAGUUUAGUUUUUUGUGUAGUUAAGAAAUGUGACAUUUGGGAAAUAUUCGUACAUGAGUUAAACAUUGUAUAUCUAUGUGUAUGUUAAUGUAAUAUAUUUCUUUGCGAUGCAUGAAAUUUGCGUACAUACCAUUUUUGAGCCUUCGGCGAAAAAACACCUUCCCUUCUUUUCAUGCUUCGUAAAGAAAGCACAACUGUUGUAUGAUAUUGUUGUCGACGAAAGUUUUCCUAGCGUGUAAGAUUAUAAUUGCCGAUGGUGUACUUUGUGCUCCAGCACACUGUUUCAUUCAUCGUAUAUUUUGAAAGAAGCAACUUUCCUUCUGCACAGUCUUGCUGCUGAUGCGAGAUGAUGUAUGAUGUAAUGCUAUGUGGAAUGAUGCGAUGAUGUGAUGCAGCAUGAUGUUUAUGCCGAAGACACAUACCCACGCGGAAACACUCCCAGACUCUGCAUCCUCUUAGGGACGUCUUUUGAGUCUCUUCACCUUAUAUUUCGUUGGAAUUUAAGCUCUACAUCCCCUUAGGAAUGACUUUGGAGCUUCUUCACCUUCUAUUUCGGUGUCAUUUAAGCUCUGCAUCCCCUUAGGAACGACUUUGGAGCUACUUCACCUUCUAUUUUGGUGGUAUUUUAGCUCUGCAUUCCCUUAGGAAUGACUUUUGAGCUUCAGAACUUACUCUACGCUCCCUUAGGAACGACUUUUGUAGCUUUAGAACUUACUCUACGCUCCCUUAGGAAUGACUUUUGUAGCUUCGAAACUUACUUUGUGCUCCCUUAGGAACAACUUUUGUAACUUCGGAGUCUUGCUAAGGGGAUGCAUCCCACUCGAUGAUGUGACUACAAUAUUAUUACAUCAAAUUGGAAUUUAAUCCUUCGUGAAUUGUUUUUCAUACAAGAAAAUAAAAUGGUGGAAAAAACAAGGAUGCGCCAGGGUAGGAUAUUCUUUAGUUAAUGUGCUUGGACUCCUCCCGAAAAUCUCGCUGCUGCUGAGAGUGUUGAUGCCCUUCUGGCUAUUGCCUUCGAACCAGAGUAGGAGCUAGCGGUGGUGGCGGUAGCUGGGCCCAGGAAGCUUGAGAAUGGCUUGCCAAAGCGACAGAGGUCAUAGGCUGUUGAUUGCCUACAUACUCUAGGACGUAGGGAGAAUAGCAUGAAGCGGUAUGUAAAACCCGCUUCGGCUCAUUCUGUCGUGCUUCAACUUCGGCAAUUUCUUUCUGCUUCUGAAUUGUGACUUGGCACGUUCUUGUGGUGUGGCCUUUGUCUUCACCGUAGAACAAACAAAACAGUCUCCUGGGCUGAUCUCCAUAUCUUCCUUCGAAGGUUCUGCCCCCUCUGCCUCUUGGAGCUAAUGGUCUGAAGGAACUUUGUUGCGCCCCUGAUGUUUGGGAGCUAUGAUGCUGUCUUUGUGUUUGGUUUCCCCUGUCGUCACUUGGGCUGGCAUUAUGGAUUGACCUGACAUGCCUGGGGUGGAAUCUUCCUCUGAAGCCCCUUGCCAUUUCAGAGUAUCUGUAAGCUUCUUCCCUUCUUUGCCGAAAAUCAUUGUCGACUCUGAUGUAUUCAUCCAUCUUCUGGAGAAGCUUCUCCAAAGUUUGCGGUGGCUUCCACGCAAAGUAUUAUGCCGUAGGUCCUAGCCGUAGCCCCUUGAUCAUGGCCUCAAUGACGAUCUCAUUGGGCACUAUAGGUGCUUGAGCUCUCAGCCGCAAGAACCUUCAAACAUACGCCUGUAAAUACUCCUCCUAGUCCUGCGUACACUGAAAAAGAGUUUGGGCAGUGACCGACUUCGUUUGGAAACCUUGAAACCUGGUCACUAACAUAUCCUUUAGAUUCUGCCAAGACGUAAUUGUCCCUGGCCGAAGAGAAGAGUACCAAGUUUGGGCUACGCUUUUGACUGCCAUGACGAAGGAUUUCGCCAUGACUGCAGUAUUACCCCCAUAUGAAGAUAUGGUUGCUUCGUAGCUCAUCAGGAAUUGCUUCGGGUCCGAGGGCCCAUCAUACAUAGGAAGCUGAGGUGGCUUGUAUGACGGCGGCCACGGGGUAGUCUGCAAUUCUGCUGUCAAGGGAGAAGCAUCAUCAAAAGCAAAAUUGUCAUGAUGAAAGUCACCAUACCAUUCAUCAUCAUUGAAUGGAUUUUCUUGGCGAAGCUCCCUGUGCUGGGGCCUUCGGUCUUGGUCAUCCUGAGUGAGAUGGCGCAUCUCUUCGGCGGCUUCAUCGAUCUUCCUUGAGAGGUCGGCGAGCCGAAGCAUCUUCUCUCUCUUCUUUUGCACUUGUUGAUGGAUAGAUUCCAGAUCCCCGAUCUCUUGAUCCAAUUCCUCCUCCUGAGGUGUUGGGCUGGUAGCCUUCCUCUUCUGGCUCCUAGCUUCGCGUAGCGUCUCCUGAUUAAUGUCCAGUGGCUACAGUGCAGCCCCUGGCACUGCUGUCUUCUUCGGCGGCAUGAUGAAGGUCGAUGCUUGCCGAAGGUGGUCGAAUGAGUUCACCGGAGGUGGGCGCCAAUGUUGUUCCUUGUUCUCGAAUACUAUACACCAAGAACAAAGCAACACAAUUGUUUUAUGAUUAAAGAACUUCGUCCUUCGAAGCAUUAUUUUCUUUUGGAUAUAAUAAUCUUCAGACGAAGGUCAUGAAGGACGUACCUUCAUCAUCUUGAUAAGUAAAUAAACAUAAAUGAAGAAACAUGAAAUGUAAUACAGAAGAAGAAUGUAAAUAAUGACCAUAUAUCAAUAAAUUAUUUACAUUCUUAUUUUAUUUCAUAAACAUGAAUAGAUGUUCACAAUAUUUAUAUUUCAUUGAUACCUUUGGCUUGACAGAAGGUGAGAAAGUGAGUGACAUGGGAGCAAUUACAAUGCAGUGUGAACAGUACGGUGUUACUGUUCAUCUAUUUAUAGGCACGGGACACAGCCCAGACAAAAUUACAUUCAUGUCCCUAACAUUUACUGUUAAUCAUAAGGCGAACUAUCAAGGACUAAGUAGUCUUUUCCCCUUUAGGUCGGUUUCAUCCUCCAAGUUCGACAUUAUACUAAGCCGAAGCUCCUUUAGCCACAGCUUUGGCGUCCGUUCAUCCUGCCUUCAAGUUGUAUCUCUAUAUCACACAUACCUUCAUCUCAAAUCCGAAGCUUCCUGCAGCAGUCUAUAUUACACUAAAAAAUAUGUUAGUCACGUUUUUUAGGACCUUCGGAUGAGGAAGGCCCCCAACAAUAACUAUAAAAGUAAAUUUAAUAUCAAAGUGGUCAUAUGGUUCACAUAUUAGAUAUUAAACUGGUAAAAACAAAUAUUAUAAUUUAUCUUAGCCAAAAGGUCGAGAAAGGUAAGAGUUAAAAAGGAGUCUAGCUAUAAAUUUUAUAGCUCGCCCGGUCGGUCGUUCUCAUACAACUAGGGAUGAGGAUGGGGAAGUUUCUUCCCCCACGGUGAUGUCAACGGGGAAAAUUUCUUCCUCGACAGAUAAACAAGGACGGUGAUGGCGAAGCAUUUCACAUCCCCGUUACCCGUUAAACUUACACGUGACGACGUUUUCAUGUACUAGUUAACGAUAAAAUAAAUAAUUAUCUUAUCAAAAGAUCACUCAUUGUAUAAAUGUGUUUAUUUUGAUGUACACAUUAUGAUUUCUUACAUCUGACAAUGUGUAGAAGUAACAAUGUUUUACAUUAAAAACAUAUGAAGUGAUGUCACUCAUUGUAUAAGUGACAAGGCGGCCUCCUACACCUCCUUGUGGCCCCUCUCGACCACCUAUUUAAGCUAAAAGGCAGCGAUGGGGAAGGUAAGUUAGAGCCUAGCGAGGGUGUGCAACAUGAGCUUGGUGCUGAAGGGGCUGACCUACGAACAUUAUUAUAGGUUGGUGAGCGCGGUGGACAGGGUGGUGCUAGCGCGACAUGCAUGGAGGGUCUUUGGCGACCAUGCGUGACAUGCAUGGACUUUGUUUGGAGCGUGGUGGCGGGUCGCGGCCGCGGCAUCCGACCAUCUGUUCCGUUGAGCCUCGGGGCGGGGGCAGCGUUUGGGGCGGACCGCACUAACACCUGGUCCGGUGUGCCGUUGGUGACGACGAAAUCGGGGCUGGGGCGCCGUCGACGGAGGUGAUGGGAUGGGGCUAGGGUUGCUGGGUGAUCGGAGCGGGGAUCGGGUCCCAUUAUUUUCAGGGCCGGGACGGUGGGUUCGAAGCGCGGGGUCGUUCGGGUGGUGGGUGAAUCGGAUGGCUUAGAUUGCAUAACGGUAUAGCAGGCAACUGAGUUUGCGUAACGGUAGAACGAUUGGGAGGCAGCCAACCCCUUGCAGCCUUAAUAAGUAGUAAAGAUUAUACGAUGGUACGGUGGUGCACUUUGGCUUUGUUGACUUAUCUUCGUCUUCUUUUUUUGGGGGAGGGGGGGAGAUGACUCUUUCUAUAUUCGUUGGUGAUUAGUGAGCACAAGAAUAUAGUUGGUCUCUUUGCUUCUUAGUUGGUCUCCUCAGUUGGUCUCUUUCAACGUGCUCCUUGAUUUGUUUUUUAAUGACGAAUAAUACGGCUAUAACUGUGUUUGUGAUGGUUCAUUGCACAUAGAUCAAGCACUUGAUCUAGCAAUGUUUGUUCGCCUUGUGGAAUAUAUAUCUGUCAGCUCCACACCAAACGAACUUGUGUCGUACAAGUUUUACUACAUCAAGCACUUGAUUGCUUCUUAAUACGUAGCUUUACACUAAUACGUGAAAGACAGGAUAGCUUAGCAUCAUAUAAAAUACAGAGCAGUUUUUCCUUUGUCGAUCUUUUUUUGCUAGAUAUAUAUAUUUUACUCUCCCCCGUUCCGGCUAUCGCUAGCUAGCAGCUUCCCUAUGUCACCUGCUAUCUCAUUCUAUUUCAAUCUUCACUAUGUAAACAGUAGAGUCGAUCUAUGGUACGAAACAAUAUUUUGUACGGUCAUAUACACGUUGUGUUGAGCACAGCCACAUCGAUCACCCGCCGUCACGACGAUUUUUUUCUGCCCAUUGUCCGACAUAAAGUACUUGGUAAAUAGGUCGUUGCCGAUAAACUGUUCAAUGCGCCCUGUUUGCCGAGUAUUAUAAUCGAUAAAGCGUUUGUCAAGUGUCAUCGAGACUUUGAUGCGUGCCGCAAAAAACACUGUUCCGGUAGUGGUUGUUACAGUUGGUUUGACGUGAAACUGAAAGAUGUAUAUAUCGACGAAUCCUCUAUUAGUUUGCAGUUUAUUGAACAAUUUAAAAUUAGGAUCACUAAGUGAUUACUAGAAAUCUUCAAUACGCAGUUCGCUGGAACAUAGCCACUCAAACACACACACAAAAGGCAUCGUAGGUUUAAACCGCUGAAAUAAGAUAAAUCUUCAAUAUUGUGUCGUCAUCAGCAGGUUCAGGCUGCUAGAGGGGUGGUUGAUGUCAUUGGAUUGUGAUAGUUGCGUAAACAAGAAAAUUGUUUCAUUUGACAACCUAAUGAAGCUUUUGCUAGCAUAUGUACAUAGAAAGAGUCAACUCACUAAAAAUAUAGAAAUAGUCAGCAAUGCUUGUUCGUCUUCUCUGUCAGCUCCACACCAAACCAACAUUUGUCGUACACAUUUUAAUAGAUCAAGCACUUGCUAGCUUCUUUCGAUUGUCAUAUUAAAAAUUUAGAUAGCUGCUAGGCCCAUAUUGUUUUUCUUGAACAAGAGCCUUUGAUAUUGUUUAGAUGGCCACGUUCAGUUGUUACUAUAGCUAAUUAUGGACGAAGAAAAUUCGGAUAUGAGACGGAGGUCGAUAGAAAUUAAUAAUUUUCACCGGCUGUCCAAUAGAGUCCGAUGAAAACUAAGUGAUUUCCAGCUACUUCGUGGCGGCAUUUCGUUCUUCCUUUCUCACGACUCUACUCUCUCACACAUCUAGCUCCCCCUGCUCGCGUCAUUGCUCUAUGACACCUCGCACCUGUUUGCGCCAACACCGACUUCUUUAUCCAAAGCAGUGUCUACCAUCGUUCUUGUCUGUGUCUAGAAAAGUGAGUUUAAUUUUUGUCGGCCACCCACGAAAUUUGAAUUUAUUAAGCUCAUAAGUAUUGAUCAUUGCAUGGUUAAUUUAAUAACUAGUGUGCAUAUAGUAUAUUAGUUUGGUCAACCUAGUUACAAUAUAAUAUUUGUUGGUUAGUUUUUUAUAAUUAGAUUUUUCAUUUAGCUACUAGCAAUUUUUUGUGUUCAAAUAUAAUACGGUAUUAUCAAAUAAUUUAUUUUUUAAAAGCACAUAAAAUAUCGAUAGGUUCAUAAAAUGUAUGUCAAUCGUUUCAAUCGGCAUACUUCAAAUGUGCCUCAUAUGUGAGAUAUGUUGUUUUAGAAUCAUUUCUAUUUGGACGGUCUUAUGACGACCGACUAUGUGCUAUUAUUUAUGGACAAUCUAGGUUUGCUUAGGGUGUAAAGAAAGAUGGUGAAAAGAUAAUAAAAAUUAUACAUAAGCAGCUUAAUAAUUUUAUAUAUGUCAUAUCAUCACUACUAGAAAAAUGGUCUUUAAUUUACAAACACGGAGGUGUGUUGUUACUAGAAAUGACAAUGGAGCGUCGAUCCCUGAUUUUCCGAGGGAAAUUCCUUCAUUAGAGGAUGGGAAGUUUUUCCCCCACAGGGAUGUAAAUAGGGAAUAAUUCUCCCCGACGAGUAAACAGGGACAGGGAUGGCCAGGGAAUUAUUUCCCAUCCCUGUUUCCCAUGAAGACGUUAAACUUGCACAUGACGAUGAUUUGAUGUAACAAUUAAUGAUAAAAAUAAAUAAUUACCAUAUAAAGAGAUCACUCAUCAUAUAAAUGUAUUCAUUUUGAUGUAUGAAUAAUGAUUUCUUAAAUCAGAUAAUGUGUCUAAGUAAAAGUGUUAUGCAUUAAUAACAAAGGGCGUAUGUUCUAAUUAUAAUUUAAGCAGGGACGAGUACCUCUGUCGGGGAUUUAUCCUGUGGAGAAUGAGAAUGGGUAAAAAAAUGUCCUCUAUAAGCGUUCGUGGAGAUCCCUAUUGAGAAAAAAAUUGUCACGGCGGAAUGGAGAGCUAUUCUCUAACAUAAAAUUUUUCGUUGCCAUCGUUAAUUGUUACGGUUGGUUUGGUGUGGAACUGAAAUAUGUAUUUAUUCCCCAAUUCACAAAAGCAAAAAAACAUGGUCAACAAGUAAACACUCGGAAAAAUAAUCUAAUAUGACUCGUUAAUUGGUCAUGGAUGACGAUACGGAGAUUGUUGGAUAUAGUUACGACGUUAUAUGAGGUGCAAAAAGUAAUUAAAGAUAUUAUUACUCUCUGCGGACUUUUUUAAUUGCCGCGGUUUAGUUUAAAAAUAAACUAGCAAGCAACAAAUAUUCAAGAACGGGGUAGUAUAUAGGACGGUGGUGUACUUUAAUUUCUCGUUGUUGACUUUUUUUUCAGGGUGGGUGGGGGGAGGGGUGAUGUCGGUGUUUAGAGCCCGACUGCACACCCAGGGUUACCUUUGCGGUGUUUUUGGGUAGGACGGUGCUGUUGAUUGUAACUCAAUGGUUCGUGUUGGACGCACGAAAGAGAAAGACAGACGAUUUUCUGUAGGUUCAGGCCGCUUGAAAAGGCGUAAUACCCUACUUCAUGGGAUGGAUCUAUAUGUGGUGGGUUACAAGCGAUGUCUCCUAAAUGGAGAAAAGCUAAUGAGAUAGGUCGAUGGCCAAUGAAAAUGAUGGGGUAUCCCCUGGGCCUUAUAUACACGACCGUAGGGCACUCCAUAUACAUCAUGAUCACAUGUCUUCUAAAUAAUAGUGAACCGGCUGAACUGAUCUCUCGAAAAUACCGCCGACUCAUCCCUAAUCCGCCCCGAUAUUUGAGGACACAAUGCGCGGGAAAGUCGGAUGAUUUCUUUGGAUAGCGCACAAUUCGACGGAUUGGUUGGGCUUGAGUCCGUUUCCUUCUCUGGUCGGCUCAUUCCGCCAAUAGCUCUAGUCCGACCCACGAAAGGAUUUCUUUGGACCACUAAUCUUAAGCAAAAUGUGCCAUAGUUAGCCACUAACCAAAUAGAACCUAAAUCGUUCAAUAAACCAUUUUUCUUGUUACGCAACUAUCACAGUCCAGCAACAGCAACACGGUCUUCGAAAAAAAUUGAAAGGACAGAGUACACGAAAAGGGUGGUAGGAUUAAACGUUCAAAUAAGAUAACUGUAUUGUUUCAUCGGCAGGUUCUAGUAGCUGCUGGAGACUACUUCAAGUCGGCUGAUUACUAGACAUUUUAAAAUUUGGAUCACGUACGUACUAUGUGAUUACUAGAAAUCUUCAACACGUAUGCAUGGUAGGUUUAAACGCUGAAAUAAGAUAACUAUAUUGUGUCAUCAGCAGGUGAUAGCUGCUAGAGACUAUUUCUUCAGGUCGGCUGAUAUGUUCAACCAAAGACUUAUUCAGCCACUGAUACGUACACGUCGCCACAUGCGCUGUGGCAGGCUAUAUAACUUCACCAUCUCCAUGCCCAAAGCAUCAACAGCAUUUGUAGACACAAGCUAAGAAGCUCCGUAGCUAAAUUCAAAUAUUACAAACACAAAAGUGGAGUGCAGAACCAAAAUGGCUGCCUCGACCGUCCUUCUCGUUGCUUUUCUAGCAUUGGUCACUUCUCAUGCCAUUGCCUCUAAUCCUAGCCCGCUCCAAGACUUCUGUGUUGCCGACAAAGACUCUCCAGGUAUGAGUGCUUUCCUCUUGACUCAAGCAGUGUUCUUAUAAUAUAUACCUGAUUAAAUAAGGAUCAUUUGUUCAAACACACAUCUACGUACAAUAAGCAUUUUGGGGUAUGCAUAUCCUAUUAACAUGUUCUCCAUCUAACUGUUUGCUUUCGUCUAUGCAUGCAUCCAGUGAAGGUGAAUGGAUUUGUUUGCAAGGACCCUAUGGCUGUGAACGCUGACGACUUCUUCAAGGCUGCAAAACUUGAUCAGCCAAGGGACACCACCAAAAGCAAGGUGGGAUCCAACGUUACUUUGAUCAAUGUCAUGCAGCUGCCUGGACUCAACACGUUGGGGAUCUCGUUGGCUCGCAUUGACUACGCACCACUAGGUCAGAAUCCUCCACACACACACCCACGUGCCACUGAGAUUCUCACCGUGCUUGAGGGGACACUUUACGUCGGAUUUGUCACCUCCAACCAAGCUGACAGAAGUAACAAGCUAUUUGCCAAGGUUCUCAACAAGGGCGAUGUGUUUGUAUUCCCCCAAGGACUAAUCCACUUCCAGUUCAACCCAGUACAUGACAAGCCAACAGUCGCGCUCGCUGCUCUAAGUAGCCAGAACCCUGGAGCUAUUACUAUUGCCAAUGCAGUCUUUGGAUCAAAGCCACCUAUCUCGGAUGAUGUCCUAGCUAAGGCCUUUCAGGUGCAAAAGGGGACAAUUGAUUGGCUUCAAGCUCAGUUCUGGGAGAACAACCACUACUGAAAAA
rnacentral:lncRNA from 1 species